rnacentral:lncRNA from 1 species
UGAGACAAUGGGUAUUUGUGAUUUACUCGAACUCGCAAUACGCCUGAUGCAACAUUAGCAAAUACCUCUCCCGCAACCUCUAACAACUUGUCUCGAGCUGCAGUGUACUGGAACAGGGCCGGUCUGGUCAGGAAGAGUGAGUUUGCUGCAAGAGCUGAUAGUGGGACGGGAUCAAUUGCACCUGAUGCUUGUCCGAAACUCACCAUGUAUCCACGAGUCUUCAAGCAUGCCAAUGAUCCCUGUAAACAAUGCCCCAGUUAAGUACUAAUUCCAAAAUUCACCAUUAAGAAAUUAGACUAGCUAAUCUUCUGAACUGAAAAAAUCAAAGGAUAACAGUUUCAUAAAACUAGCUCGAACAGAACAGUAUAGAGAUUUGGUAUGCCUGGCCUGUCAUUGAGAAACUUCAACGCUAGAUUAGGUAAUAAGUCACGGAAAAGCAGAAGCAGUAACAGGCUGUGUUGAUACUCAAUGAAACCAAGAACAUCAAAGGAACGGUGCAGAAGGAGAACCUAGAAUCAUUUCUGUAACUUCUGUAUAAAAUUGAGGGAUGGUAAGAUUUACCUGAAAGGUAUCCUUCCCUACAGAAUCAUAGACAACAUCAACCCCAUUGUCAGAUGUUAUUUCUGUCACUCGAGCAACAAAAUCCUCUUUCGUGUAGACUAUGACAUGGUGACACCCAUCAUCCUUGGCCUGAGCUGUCUUCUCUUUAGUUGAUACAGUUCCAAUGACAGUUGCACCAAGCGCAUUAGCCCACUGGCAUAAAAGGGAUCCAACUCCACCAGCUGCUGCGUGAACAAGGACUGUGUGUCCUGGUUUGACCUGUAUAAUUAACAGCACAAAAUUCAGCUCGAACAUUAAAAGCAGCAGCAUUCAAAUUUAUAAACAAUUUCUAACAUUGAAUCAACCGUGUUUAGAUAAUGAAAUUACAAGUUCAGGAAGCAUUUGGUUACAACUUGACCACCAAUAUUUGUCAGUUGAUUGUAUUUUUUUGACACAUUAAUCACAUAGUUAACAAUACAUAAAAUUGUACAAUAAAACAACCUUGAAAGACUGACGUAGUAGAACCUGAGCUGUCAUACCCUUAAGCAAUACCGAUGCUGCAACAAUAGGAUCAAUUGAAGGGGGAACCGGCACCACUUUGUUUUCAGGAAGGAUCUGCUCUUCCGCAUAUGACCCCAUCGGAGUGCCAACAUAGGCCACCAGAUCUCCAACUCGCCUGUCUGUUACUCCAGGUCCUACGGCUGUCACAACUCCACAAGCUUCCAUACCUGAAAUGAAAAUUGAUUUGUAGUGACGUUGAGUUUCUCGACCAUUUCUCUUAAGGAUUAGUCAGUUCUAUUUCAAACAGCAGGAAUGGCUAAUCUGGUUUCAUGCCCGGCAUUCUUUUAGGUUUGCUAAAUCAUUCUUGAUCAUAUCUGAAAACUGUAAUCUCACGCGAAAUGUUUACUCAAGAAACUGUUAAGAAAAAACUAAACUUAGAAAUUAUGCCUUCAAAGAGUGGACAAGAUGUCAAUCCUUCCUACAUUUCGGAACUUGGAAAUGAAGCAAAACCUGGGGAGAAGGGCAUUGUAUCAGCCUUAUAAUAAAGUCCUUUGCGGAAGUAUACAUCGAUGAAAUUAACCCCUAUCGCCUUCUUCUUCACACGAACCUCCCCCUCCUUCGGCUCUCCUAUUUCCACUUCUUCCCAUUUCAAGACCUAGCAGCAUUACAUCACAAAAUUAAGUGAAAUGGGGAUAAAAGCAUUAGAAAUUUGGAUAAUGACAUGUAGCUGAACCAGAUAGCAGAUGAAAGAAAAAUUACGAGCAAAGGAAACUUCUUUCAAGGAAAACAAACUGAAGUAAAACUCCAAAACAAACGGGUUUUGAAUAAUAUGUUUCAAAGGUUGUGUAUGAACACACUUGAUGUUGUGCUAGGAUAGCACCAAACCUUUUAGAACCAACUCAAGCUAACCAACAGGAAAUUUAUCAAAUAAAAAUGCAAGAACAAAAUAUUAAAGACACCAAGAUUUUAACGAGGUUCCUCAACAGUCAGUGUAACUGGAGUACGUCCUCGGAGCAGUAGGAGCUCACCCAAUAAUCCACUAUCAACCAAAUGGGAGUUUACAAAGUGUUGGCAAUCUCACAACCCAAAUAACCCAAUACACUCAAUAACUCUCACACACCACAGAAACAAAUAGAGAAAGAAAUAUAAUGAAUAAUUUCUUCUCUAUACAUGUAGCUCAAAGCUAUUACAACAAUAACUAUGAUGAAUGAUUGCUAACAAAAAAGAAGAGCACAUUCUUCUUCUUUUCAACAAAGGGUUGCUGCACCCUUUCUAUUUUCUGAUGCUCUGCAGCUUGCACUCCUUUUCUCUGCAGCUCUCUUCUCUCUUCUCUCUUAUGCUCUAAUCUGAAAAUUGAGCUCUCAUUUUCUUCUCUUCUACCGAAACAAAACAAUGAAUUAUUAUUCAAAACAAGCCAUCACUUUCGGCUAAUAAAAAACCACAAAAGAAGAAAAACAUCAUCAUGAUGCCUCCUCAUCAUGAUGUCUUUAUAAUUUUAUAACCAAAAGUUUUUUUCUUUUCCUUUUUUUAAUAGCCGAAAGUUGUUUGUUUGGCCAUAAUUCAACAAUCUCCACCUUGGCCAAAUUCCGAAAACACCAUGAUAAGCCAACCAACACAAUCAACACAAAAAUCACUCCCAAACACUAGCAAAAGAACAACUCAUGCCGAGCCAAAUGCUCCAAAAACUCCUACUGCUCAACGCCUUCUUUAUAUAGGCAUAAUGUGAGCCAAGUUCAAACAGUGAACAAACUUGGCUACACCAACAACCUUAGUCAACAUAUCAGCGGGGUUAUCUUUAGUUGGAAUCUUCUGGAGAAUGAUUUCCCCUUCACCAACAAUUUCACGAACAAAGUGAUAACGCACAUCUAUAUGCUUGGUCCUCGCAUGAUGAACCUGAUACUUAGCCAAAUAAAUGGCACUCUGACUAUCACAAUGUACCUCCACCUGCUUCUGAUCAACCCCCAAAUCCCUAAUCAGCCCAUGUAUCCAAAUGACCUCCUUUAUAGCUUCAGCAACUGCCAUAUAUUCAGCCUCUGUAGUAGACAAGGCAACAGACGACUGCAAAAUGGACCUCCAACAAACUGGUCCUUUAGCCAUAGUAAACACAUAGCCUGUAGUAGACUUCCUUCCAUCCAGAUCACCUGCAUAAUCUGAAUCAACAUAACCAACUGCAAAAUGACCAAUACCAGAGUCAUCUCUCUCAAAGCAUAAACCAACAUCUCGAGUACCAUGGAGAUACCUCAAUAUCCACUUAGCUGCUUGCCAAUGCUCUUUACCUGGAUUAUGCAUAUAUCGACUCACCAUGCCAACUGCAUGAGCAAUAUCCGGUCUAGAGCAUACCAUUGCAUACAUCAAACUACCAACCAAAUUUGCAUAUGGUAUAUUUUUCAUUUUCAGCUUCUCUUUAUCAUUUUUAGGACACUGUAGAGAACUCAAUUUAAAAUGAGGAGCCAAAGGGGUACUAACCGGUUUGGUUGAAUCAUGAACUCCAAACUUCCGAAUCAACUUCUCAAGGUAUUGUCUUUGAUUCAAACUGACGAAACCCUUUGCUCUAUCUCUAGUGAUCUCCAUGCCAAUGAUCUUUUUUGCUUCACCAAGAUCCUUCAUCUCAAACUCAUUCUUCAUUUGUUUCUUCAAUUUCUCAAUCUCUUCAACAUUCUUUGAGGCAAUCAACAUAUCAUCAACAUAUAUCAACAAAUAAAUGAAAGACCCAUCUUGCAACUUCUUGAAGUACACACAAUGAUCAUAUUGACUUCUAGAAUAAUUUUGGCCUCUCAUAAAUUUAUCAAACCUCAAAUAUCAUUGCCUUGGAGAUUGCUUCAAGCCAUAAAGUGAUUUCUUCAAUUUGCAAAACAAAUUUUCCUUCCCUUUCACUAUAUACCCAUCCGGUUGACACAUAUAAAUCUCUUCAUUCAAAUCACCAUGUAGGAAAGCCGUCUUCACAUCAAGUUGCACAAGCUCAAGAUCAUAUUGUGCAACAAGAGCUAACAUAAUACGAAUUGAGGAGUGCUUCACAACUGGAGAAAAUAUUUCAUUGUAGUCAAUGCCCUCCUUCUGUGCAUACCCUUUAGCAACUAAUCUUGCUUUAAAUCUCACAUUGCUUUUCUCAUCAGCAUCUUCCUUCUUGGCAUACACCCAUUUGCAACCGAUAGCUUUCUUGCCCUUAGGCAAUUUAGCUAACUCCCAAGUCUUGUUCUUCAAGAGAGAAUUCAUCUCAUCACCCAUGGCAUUGCACCACCUCUCAUUUUCUUCACUCUCAAUAGCUUCCUCAAAAUUGGAUGGAAUCUCAUCAGUGAUAAUAGGAAAAGCAAAAGAAACAUAGUCACUAUACCGAGCUGGCUUGGUAAUUUGUCUCUUUCCUCUGUUCUUGGCAAUAGACUCUUGAGGUGAAACUUCCUCUUCAACUUGAAUAGAAUCUUCAAGUUCAACUUCUUCAACAUCCUCAUGGUCUCCAACUUCUUCACUUGUAGUGGCUUCGACAUCAGCGGAAAUAGGAUUUGAAGUAUUAGAGGCAACUUUCUCAAGCUCCACUUGUUGGACAUCUUUCACAUUCUUCUCAGAGUCUUUAAACAUACUUUCUUCAUCAAAUGUCACAUCUCUGCUGAUUACAAGUUUUUUCAUCUCCGGGCACCACAACCUGUAACCUUUGACACCACUACUAAAACCAAGAAAGAUAGCAUUUUUGGCUCUAGGAUCAAGUUUAUUUUCAGUCACAUGAAAAUAAGCAGGUGAACCAAAAAUACGGAUAUAGUCAUAAUCAGAAGAAGAUUUUCCAGUCCAUACCUCCAUUGGUGUCUUACCCUGAAUAGCAGCUGAGGGUAACCGGUUGAUGAUGUGACAUGCAUAAGUAACUGCCUCUGCCCAAAACGACUUGCUUAAACCCGACUGAGACAACAUACAUCUAACCUUCUCAAGCAAGGUUCGAUUCAAUCUUUCUGCAACUCCAUUUUGUUGUGGAGUUCCCCGAACACUGAAAUGUCUCACAAUUCCUUCCUCUUUGCAAACUUUAAAGAAAGGAUCGGAUGUGUAUUCACCACCAUUAUCCGAUCUCAAAAUCUUAAUCUUUCUUCCAGUUUGGUUCUCAACCAUUUUCUUCCAACCCAAGAAAAUGUUUAACACCUCACUCUUGUGCUUCAUAGUGUAGACCCAAGACCUUCUUGAAUAAUCAUCAACAAAGGUCACGAACCAAUGUCUACCACUCAAAGAGGGAGUCUUUGUAGGACCCCAAACAUCCGAAUGCACAUAAUCAAGAAUGCCCUUCGUCUGAUGUACAGCAGUACCAAACUUCACUCUAGUUUGCUUCCCCAAGACACAAUGCUCGCAGAAAUCAAGCUUACAAGUCGUGGCACCUUUUAGAAGACCUUGUUUCACAAGCCCUUGUAGAGCUCUCUCACCAGCAUGGCCUAAUCUCAUAUGCCACAGUCUAGUAGUAUCUGAAUCAGAUGUGCCCAUAUUUUCAGAAACUACAGAUGCUUCAUCUGUCACAGUGCUUCCCUGCAAUAAAUACAAAUGGCCACAUCGAGGAGCUUUCAUCACAACAAGUGCACCAUAAGUAACUUUCAAUGUCUGUCCAUCUGAAUGAAACCUGAAGCCCUUGGAUUCCAAAGUACCCAAAGAAAUAAGAUUUUUCUUCAAAUUCGGUACAUACCGAACACCUGUCAACUCUUUAACCAUGCCAUCAUGCAACUUCAAACGAACUGUACCAAUCCCUUUUGUUGUGCAAGGAUUGUCAUCUCCCAUGAACACAACACCACCAUCAAACUCUUUCAAGCUUGAAAACCAAUCCUUGUGAGGAGUCAUAUGAUGAGUACAACCCGUAUCCAACACCCACUUAGUAGCACAAUCAAAUGAUGAGGAAGUGGUUAAAGCAAAAUCAGAAAAAUCUGUUCAACCUCAGCAACAUUAGCUUCAGAACUUUCUUUGCCUUUGGUCUUCAAUUUAGGACAAACUUUCUUCCAAUGGCCCUUAUUAUGACAAAAGGCACAUUCAUCCUUUUCCAAAGGUUUUCUACCUUUAGAGUUUCCUCUAGGUCGAGACUGUGAUUUUUUCCUGCUAGAAGAUGAUCUCCUCUCCGAUGAUCUACCUCUAACAAAUAAAGCUUCAGAGGUACUAUCAUGAUUUUUAUCUCUAUGCCUCAUUUCAUAAUUCAUCAAGGCAUUUGACACAUCUUCAAAUUUUACAGUUUCUUUACCAUGCAUAAUAGUGGUAACAAAAUGCUCAUAAGAGUCCGGCAAGGAAUUCAACAAUAUUAAGGCCUUAUCUUCAUCCUUAAUAUCCUCAUCUAAAUUUAACAAGUCGGCAAUCAACUUAUUAAAAGCAUCAAGGUGUCUAAUCAUUUUUGAACCUUCUUUGUAUUGGAAGCGGUAGAGCUUUUUCUUCAAGUGUAGCCGGUUCUCUGCACUCUUCGUCAUAUACUUGUCUUCCAAUUUUUGCCACAACACACUUGCUACCGUCUCCCGCAUCACAAAAUACUUCUGAGUUUUUGCAAGGCACAACCGAAUUGAAGAGCAAGCCCACAAAUUUAAUUUCUCCCAUUCCGACUUCGAAAUAGCUUCCGGUUUUUCUCCCAAAGCGGCAAGUAGAUCUUGUUGAGCCAACACAUCUUUAACCUCACAUUGCCACAUCCCGAAGUUGUUUGUGCCAUCAAACUUUUCCACUUCGAACUUUGCAUUUUGCACCGUAGUUCUUAUAGAGAAAGAAAUAUAAUGAAUAAUUUAUUCUCUAUACAUUUAACUCAAAGCUAUUAUAACAAUAACUAUGAUGGAUGAUUGCUAACAAAAAAGAAGAGCACAUUCUUCUUCUUUUCAACAAAGGGUUGCUGCACCCUUUCUAUUUUCUGAUGCUCUGCAGCUUGCACUCCUUUUCUCUGCAGCUCUCUUCUCUCUUAUGCUCUAAUCUGAAAAUUGAGCUCUCCUUUUCUUCUCUUCUACCGAAACAAAACAAUGAAUUAUUAUUCAAAACAAGCCAUCACUCUCGGCUAAUAAAAAACCACAAAAGAAGAAAAACAUCAUCAUGAUGCCUCCUCAUCAUGAUGUCUUUAUAAUUUUAUAACCAAAAGUUUUUUUCUUUUCCUUUUUUUAAUAGCCGAAAGUUGUUUGUUUGGCCAUAAUUCAACACUUGAUAUGGCUUGAGAUAAACUAUAAACACAAUAUAAACUUUAGUUUACAAACUCAAAUACUUCAAGGCCUCGCUCGAUGUCUAUGAUUGAAUUGGACUGAAAAAUCGCUAGAUUCAAUGUAUGUCAAAGAAAGAAAUUUGGAAAGCAGAAGAAGGAUUGAUCAUGAAGAACAUUCCAAUCACCAACGAAAUGGUAGGAUUGGAGGGAUAAGCUUACUUCAUGACUACUCCUCUUUUUACUUUCAACUUAUGACUCGUCUGGAAGUGCUUUUAGAAUGACUGAAAACGUUUUUGGUGAAAUUGAUUUUGGAUUCCAAAAGCACUUGGAAGAAGCAUCAAAUAUGUGCUUGUAGGAAGCACUUCAAGUGCUUUUUUAAGAUUCAAUUAGAUUUUUACUAAAAAUUGAUUUCAAAAAUAUUUUCACAAAAAAUACUUUCUGUUACUUUAAAAGUACUUCCAAACGACCCUUUGACUUCCAUUUUUUCCUUCGACAUUGAAUCAUAGUGAGUUAUCGAAUCCAGUCAAAUCCUUGACACCAAACAAGAACUAACCUUGUCCGGAUUAGUCCGAUGAAUACAAUGGCAUAAGAAAUCAUGUACUCUUGGCUAAAAGCAGAAAGGCUAUCACUUUCAGCCUGUUACCAGAUUUCCCAUCAAACAACUUGGAUUUAUUGUAAACAGAAAUAGUUUACAAAUGAAAUCAGGCACUUAAUAUUGCAACCGACAAACAAGUCUUGAUUUUGUGAUCACAAAUUCAAACAUUCAAGUUACCCAAAAAAACACAGGAGAGAGAGAGAGAGACCUGAGGACCACCAAGUUCAUGAACUCUAAUGGCUUUCACCAUCUUUGUUGGCGAUACUGCUUGAUUUCUGGGUACGGACUAUUUUCCGGUCAAAAGUGUGAUUUCUUGGUAAUUAUCCCUUAAUAAUUAGCCUAACUCGUGUUAAUAUUAUAAUGUUGGACCUACAUCUUUUUUUAGUCCAUGUCUCGUACACGCACCAAAAAUCAUAAAGAGUUGUGAUAUUUCCACUCCGAUGUCUUAUUUUCUUAUCCACCAUUUAAUGAAAAUGUUAAUAACAUAUUUAUCCUUUUAAAAGAAGAUUCUUAAACCCUUGAAAAAGCAAAAAAUAAUUUUAAAUAAUAAAUAAAUAAUGGUGGGUGGGAUGUGAUAUCUUUGGUGGAAAGAGGUUGGGAAAGAUUUGGGUUAGAAUCGACGGAAAAGUUGGAGGAAUGAAUGAGCAUGUGCUAGACGAAGGCGAGAAACUUCAAUGGAGAAAAAAGAGAAUUUGGUGUGAGAUCUGCAGUUUUGACAAAAAAGGAGGAAGAAAAGUGGUUUGGGGGUCCGGGAUCUCUGCAGGACGACGAUUGGUGAGAAGUAGAUGAUGAAUGUCUAGGUCUUGCAUUUUCUAUGGUGGUCCCUUAGAGUUUAUGUUUAUUGUGCAAAGCACAGAAGACCCUGCUUAUCGAGUUGUAUCUAUGCUACCAUCAAAGCUUAAGGUAUACGCAACAAUAAUCAUGGUUUCUUUAAUAUAAGAAGAACAUCCAGGACAAGUCAUAUAUAAUAUAUGCUUGGAAGCACAAGUUUAAUGCAUAACAUUUUUUAGGUUACAUGUGUUCCGAGAAUGAUAUGUUUUACGUUUAACUUCAUUUCCUUGCAGGACGAGGUUCAUGCUAAGAUUAUUGUGGCUGGUAUUUCAACAACCUGUAGUCAGAAAAUUCACAACCAAUUGGUAUGUACCUGAUUAAAAUAAUUUACGCUUUGCUACCAUGCUGGUGCAAUAGCAAGGUCUUGCACAGUUUAAGUGUUAUCUUAUCAAAUCAUUAUGUACCUAUAAUUGUUCUAUAUGACGAGUUUCUUUUCUUUAUGGAAUAGAGAAAUAUAAAUUUAUUACCAAGUCUUAAUGGUGUAGGGUAUAUGUAAAUGAAUUCAAUUAGAACUCACAUUUUUGUUUUCUGUUUUGUAGCUGCCUUGAUCAUUAGUUGGUGAUAUUUGGGAGAUUGGGUCAUCUGGUUGUUUGGAUUUAAGUGGGAUUGAAGUUAUUUUUGCCGCUUUUUGUGAUUUGGGUCUGGGUUAUGGUCAAGUUAUUGCUAUUUAUUCUGGGUAUUUGCUGAAAUUUGUGUUCAAUUAGUGUGAGUUCUGUAAUUGGUUUGUGUUCGUUCAUAUAACCUUAUGUUCUUGGAAUGUGAUUUAGCUGUGGCUCUUUCAUUUGAUUCUUAAUUCUUUAUGAUUCAGCACUAUGUUGAUAUUGAUGAUGAAUUUUUCCUCGCGAUUAAUGCUUUCAUGUUUAAAUCUUAAUAACUAUACUUGCUUCUCUUGGGUGUAUGUUUUGCCGGUCAUGAAAAACUGUCGGCCAAUCUUUUUGCACCACUCUUUCGCACUCUUUUCCGUGGCUAUCAUGUUUCUCUCUGACCUUAUAAAUUUUGCCUUCAUUCACAACAAAAAACCUUGCGACGAGCAAACAGGCACAACCAAUUCUGCCAGAAUUGCUGGAGAAUUCCACAACCAAGGUCAUCGAGUACGGCCGAAAGCAUGUUGAGGGUCGAGACGGCGAUAGCACCGAUGUUGGCAAGAGCGGCGACCCCUUUUCAAGGUACGGUCUUCACUGAUUUGAAGUUUUAGUUUGUUUGUGAUUUUUUUUCUUUGGAUAUGUAAUUUAUCCUUUUGUACUUGACAAUUUGUGAUCCAAAAUUUUUUUCUCGUGUUUUGAUUUUCCUGUGAAUUUAUAUGAGUUUAGAUUUUUAUUGUUAAUUUACUGAUGUUGGGGGAUCAUUUUGGCUUCUAGAUUGGUUUGAACUUUUUUCUGUCUUUGUUUUUUCCUUUGUGUAAUUUUAGUCAGAUUGAAGUGUUCUUUUCAAUUUGAGAUUUAAUUGAAGUGUUUAGGAUUAUCUACAUAUAUAUAAUCAAUGUUGAAAUUUUAAACUAAAUCACUAUGCUGCAAUCAAACCCACAGAUUGUUGGGUCCAAAAGAAGAAGAAGAAGAAGGAGUGAACAACAUGAAAUUGGCUUUGGGUAAGCUUCCACUCUCUUCUGUGUAUGAUCUCUUUGAGAAGUGAUUUUGGUUUGUGCUUUCAAAAAUGAUGAUGGCAAUUUCAUAUUUGGACAGAGAAAACAAUAGGCAUGUAUGAUGAAGUGGAAUUUUUCGUGGUAUUAUCAACAUGCUUGUUAUAAAGAAUUCUUCAUUUAGUUUUUUGGGUUGUGUGUUUUGUGCUGUUUCAUUCGUGACUUGUGUGUUUUGUUGUAUCUGAUUCAAGAAUACGUCAUUGAAGAAUGUUAAUGAAUCCAAACAUGGGUUUUGGGGUGUUCUUGCUAGAAAAGCCAAAGACAUUCUCGACGAUGAUGAUAAUGGAGUUCAGGAUUAUGAUUCACCCCGAACAACAAGGACGAAUAUGCUGUCUUUGCCAACAAGGGGAUAAGGUGAGAUAUAGUUUUCGUCAUGUCUUUAUAGUAGCUGGGCAUUUUCCAAGGACUUUUAAUUGCUGCUGCAUUGUUGAAUACAUUAAGAAUGAUCCGGUAAACCAGAGAGGGAGUCAUCAGCUUAUGGAUUUGUUAACACAUCCAAUGUGUUGUAAUCUUUUCAUUACUUAAACAUGUUAAGACAUCAAUUCUAAAAAAAACUUGGUCUGCUACUUUACUUAUGGUGCUGUUGGUUUACUCCAACGAUAAUACCUAGCUAGGAUAGCCUUUUCUUUAUGUCUUAAUUAUUGAUAGUGCUAUCAUCAUGGCAGGCUAUGUUGGGGCAAGAACUGUGCAGGCAAAGACAUAAGAGUGAUGGAUUUUGGAACGAAAUGCAGAGGAUAUCAUUUUGUGCUGCUUAAGUAAAAGUUUCCUCUUCUGUUAUAUUUGUGUGUUGGAUAUUGUAAAAAAUUAAUAUAAGUUGUAUAUUCAUGAUAACUGACUGAUUAAGAUUACUUACAAGGGGUAUAUAUGCACAGGAGAGCUCAGCAUGAGGGUGCUGUUGGUUUACCUUGCCUGGAUGUGUAGCAGUGUGGGGUUGUUCAAGAAAAAAGGUUUUAAAGGAUCCUUUGCAGAUGCAGGAUCUUCUGCUAAAUGAUAACAUUGCAAUCCGAGUGUAAUUAGUUUAGUUUUUUCUAGUUUUUUUUUUUUUUUUGUGAAAUGUUAUUUACAAUGUCAGAAUGUUUCUUGGAAUUCAGUUGUCAAGGUUUCUUUUUAUAUUUUCCCUUUUUUAGACAUUUGCAGUUUUGUCCGGAGUGUGUGAGCUGUUGCUUCAGCCAAAACAGGUGCUCUCUCCAUUUUUCAUUUCUUCCAUACUCAAACCCUAGCCGCUCCACCUGUCUCUCCCACACAUAAGCAAACUCCAUCUGAAAGCCGAAGAAUCCAAAGGUAAAUCCCUUCGAACUCUUUGAUUAUCAACCAGAUUUCAGAAUGUUUUUGGGAUAUACACUGCUAUUUCAUAUAGUGUUAGUUCAAUAGUUUAGUCCUAAGACCUAGCUCAUGAGACAUCAGAAUUUCGAUUGAUUUAGCUUUUGUCCUAUGCCUUUUUUGUAGGCACAACAAGGAUUGUAGACUACACAAACUUAGAAGAUAUGAAGUGUGCGGUAAGUCCUUUUACUUUCUCACUCCAGAGUCCAUACAUUCAUAUUUUCUGUAACCUUCUAUGGAGCAUGGGUACUAGGUUGUUGAAUAUUGCUUCUUCAAUAUGUCGAUGUGUCUGAAGCAUCUAUAAGAAUCUCAAACUUCAUAAAUAAUUUCCAUGCAGAUCAAAAAGCUUGAUGGCUCUGAGUUCCGAAAUGCUUUUGACCGCCAAUCUGUUUGCGUAUGAAUCUUACAAGUUGAAAAUUUAUUUUCUCUCCUCCUGUAUUUUUGUUUAUCUUUUGCUCUGUUGGGUUUUUUUUUUUCCAACAACUCAAAGGGCCGAAAGGUAUUCUCUUUUCAUAUUCUUCUCUCCCAAUUUCUUUAGGGUUAAUUUCAAUUUUCUUAUGCUAUUUGCAUUGGUGCUUUUUAGGGUUUAACUAUUUGAUUUCACAGAUUCAUUUCAGACACAGUAAAUAGUUACAUUUUAAAUUCGUAUUUCAUAACUUGGUUGCUUGAUUCUAAUGUCGAUUCGUUACAACAGAAGUGAACUUUUUCUUUCAAUAAUUUAAUCUGAUGUAACUCUGUUUUUGUUCUCUCAUGUCUAGGUUGGUCAAGGACAUGGGGAGAAGAGCACUUUGGAAAUGGGUACGAAAGGAAAUAAACUUGCUGAACUGCAUUGGCAUCUAUUGUUUUGGUUUUUCUUUGACAAGUUAACUUGCUCUCUCUUUGCAGUAAGGUGCACAAAUAUGGAAAAAGCACGACAGGGGAAAGCUGGGAUAUUGUUGUGGAUGAGGAGACCUAUUACGAGUGAGUCUGGACUUGGUUCUGGUUCUGUCUACAUAUAGUAUGUUGAAGCAGUCAAAAGGAUUUCAGGGGCUAUAAGGGAUGGCUGUAGAGGCCACCCGCUCGAUAUUGCCUUGUUCGGUUGUUCAUCCAGAUACAAAUUCUUGUUUAGCUCAGAAUGCACGGGCUACAUCAGCUACAUUUAGGAAAACAUUUCCGCUUUACUUUUCUUUGAUGUUUGUACCAUUCAUUGUUUUCAGCCUACAGAAGGUAAAUUCUUCAAACUCAGCCUUUUCUUCUCAUUAUUUACCAGGAUAAUGCUUCUUUAACAAUUAUUUUCUGAAAUGGUGCGUUUACCUAUUAGUUCUGCCGACCACGAUAUUGGAUUUAUUGCCAUGAAAUGGUAUGGAAUUUGUUUAUGAUUUUGCCAAUUACACAAACUGAGUCGUUUUUGCUGUUAUCUGUUGGAGUUUUAUGAGUUGUGUCUGGUGUGCCUUGCCAUGAAUAGUGAAGGAUCAUUGACUCUCCUUCUUGGCAGUAGCUGGAUAGUCUUUCAUAUACAAUUGGAUCAUGGUAAUGUUUUGAGGCAUUUCAAAUUAUUCCACAUGUAAAUAGUUUUGAAUUCAGAGUUUGGUCUUUCAAUUUCAAGCUGGCAUAUGAUCUUUGAAUAGUUCAAGCAUUUUUGUUAUCAUUCUAAUUCUCUGAAGGUAAAUAGAAAAAUUGCAUGUAAAUCGAACAAUGUUUCAUAACCUUUUGUGUGUUGGUACUAUUGUUGAUCCAAAGCCACAAGAACUUUGUUGGUGUAAUCUUUUUUGCAUGUAAAUAGAAGUCUGAUCUUUUGUGUGUAUACAAGCAACAGUAUCAUUUAAACGCUUUUAAAAUCCACAGCAUCGUUUGGGCAAUUUUUGCUUAUAACCAAAUGUAUGAAAUUGAAAUGUUAUAGAAAUGUUGUACGAGGUUACAAUUGGAGAGAAUUUUUCAGUGUGAUUGGAACACGGGAUGGUACACCACGUGUCACUAUAUAAAUGGUAGAAUGUGUGUUAAAAAAUUAAUAAUUUAAAAAAUAAAUUUUUCACCACUUAUAUAAAAACACGUGGUGUACCACUCGUGUUUCGAUCAUAAUGAAAAAUUUCUCGUUACAAUUGUACCGAAAUGUAAAGAAGUAAAUUGUAAUUUACCCUAUUUACUUUCACUUGCACAUUUACCUGUUUGACGCCCAGCUUAGGUGGGCAUAUUAUAUCCCAGUAAAAAUAUCACAUCCAUAAAAAAAAUUAAUUUUUCAUCUAUAUUAAUACAAUGUAUUUGAAGGACCGACGAUUCCCAAUUCCAAGUGGGGUCUUAAAUUAACUUGUGUCUCUAUAGAUGCGGACUAGCUAGUCCUAAAUAGCCGCUUAGUUUAUUCCAUCUUAUCAUCUAUCAAACUUUUGUCCAAGAUUCCAAGAGUCCGUCCGACGACUGUUACUCUCAUUGAUGUGCACCGAUUUUGAAAAUGCGGUCUCAUGCCGUAGAGGAUGGUUUAGAAAAGGUGAGGCUCCCUAGUAUAUAUAGGUAGCUCUACUCUGGAUUGUUCAUUGCUCAUACACAUCACCUGCUUCAUACACUUGAACUUUAUGGCCAUUGCAACCAUUACUUUCAGUAUUGGUUUAUCCAAUGGAAAUCCAGCUUGGCCUCCACUUUGCAAAGAAAGCGAAAGACGAGCACUUCUGAUGUUCAAGCAAGAUCUCAACGAUCCUGCCAAUCGCCUUUCAUCGUGGGUUGCAGAAGAAGAUUCAGAUUGUUGCAGUUGGACAGGAGUUGUCUGUGAUCACAUGACCGGCCACAUCCACGAGCUGCACCUUAAUAAUCCCGACACUUAUUUUGAUUUCCAAUCUUCCUUCGGUGGUAAGAUAAAUCCUUCUUUGCUCAGUUUAAAGCAUCUCAACUUCUUGGACUUGAGUUACAAUAAUUUCAAUGGAACACAAAUUCCUAGUUUCUUUGGUUCUAUGACAAGUUUAACACACCUUAAUCUUGCAUACUCAUUGUUUGAUGGAGUAAUUCCUCAUACACUAGGAAAUCUCUCCAGUCUACGCUAUCUCAAUCUCCAUAGUUAUGGUCUCUAUGGUUCCAAUCUGAAGGUAGAGAACCUUCAGUGGAUUUCUGGUCUUUCUCUGCUGAAACACUUGCACUUGAGUUAUGUAAAUCUUAGCAAAGCAUCUGACUGGUUGCAAGUUACAAACAUGCUCCCUUCUUUGGUAGAGUUACAUAUGUCCUUUUGUCAUCUUCAUCAAAUCCCCCCUCUACCCACCCCAAAUUUUACUUCCCUGGUCGUCCUUGAUCUUUCUGGAAACAGUUUUAAUUCUUUGAUGUUGAGGUGGGUUUUCAGUCUUAAAAAUCUAGUUUCUAUUCUUCUCGGUGAUUGUGGUUUCCAAGGUCCAAUUCCUAGCAUUUCACAGAAUAUCACAUCUUUGAAGGUAAUUGAUUUGGCAUUCAAUUCUAUUAGUCUUGAUCCGAUUCCCAAAUGGCUGUUUAACCAAAAAGAUCUGGCUUUGGAUCUAGAAGGUAAUGACCUUACAGGACUUCCAAGCAGUAUUCAGAAUAUGACUGGUCUUAUAGCUCUUUAUCUUGGGUCGAACGAAUUCAAUUCUACCAUACUUGAAUGGUUGUAUAGCCUGAACAAUCUUGAGUCCUUAGAUCUUUCUCACAAUGCCUUACGUGGUGAAAUUUCGAGUUCCAUUGGAAAUCUUAAAAGUUUAAGGCACUUUGAUCUUUCAAGUAAUUCAAUAUCAGGUCGCAUUCCAAUGUCACUAGGAAAUAUAUCAAGCUUAGAACAAUUGGACAUAUCUGUAAAUCAAUUUAAUGGAACUUUCACAGAAGUUAUUGGUCAGCUCAAAAUGCUAACGGAUUUGGAUAUAUCUUAUAAUUCGUUAGAAGGUGUGGUGUCGGAAAUUUCUUUUAGCAACCUUAUAAAGUUGAAGAAUUUUGUUGCAAGAGGAAACUCAUUUACUUUGAAAACUAGUCGAGAUUGGGUUCCUCCUUUUCAACUUGAAAUUUUGCAGCUGGAUUCCUGGCAUUUGGGGCCUGAAUGGCCAAUGUGGUUGCGGACACAAACUCAAUUAAAGGAACUAAGCUUGUCUGGUACAGGAAUUUCAAGUACUAUUCCAACUUGGUUUUGGAACUUAACUUCCCAAGUAGACUAUCUGAAUCUCUCUCACAAUCAAUUGUAUGGGCAGAUUCAAAAUAUAUUUGUUGGUGCUUUUCCUUCAGUAGUUGAUCUUGGUUCUAACCAAUUCACUGGUGCAUUGCCCAUUGUUGCCACCUCAUUGUUCUGGCUAGAUCUUUCCAAUUCAUCAUUUUCUGGAUCUGUUUUCCACUUCUUCUGUGAUAGGCCGGAUGAACCAAAGCAACUUGAAAUUCUUCAUCUCGGGAACAAUUUUCUCACUGGAAAAGUACCCGAUUGUUGGAUGAGUUGGCAAUACUUGGGCUUCCUAAAUUUAGAAAACAACAACCUAACUGGGAAUGUCCCAAUGUCCAUGGGAUACUUGCAAGAUCUGGAAUCACUGCACUUGCGCAAUAAUCACCUGUACGGAGAAUUGCCACAUUCCCUGCAGAACUGUACCUCGUUGUCAGUUGUUGACCUUAGUGAAAAUGGGUUUUCCGGAAGCAUACCAAUAUGGAUAGGGAAAAGCCUUUCAGGGUUGCAUGUUCUUAUCCUUCGUUCAAAUAAGUUUGAAGGAGAUAUUCCUAAUGAAGUUUGUUAUUUGAAAAGUCUCCAGAUAUUGGACCUUGCACAUAACAAACUCUCAGGAAUGAUACCGAGAUGCUUCCACAAUUUGAGCGCCUUGGCUAAUUUUUCAGAAUCAUUUUCUCCAAGGAUUUUUGGGAGUGUGAAUGGAGAAGUUUGGGAGAAUGCAAUCUUGGUAACGAAAGGGACAGAAAUGGAAUAUAGCAAGAUUCUGGGAUUCGCAAAGGGCAUGGAUCUUUCAUGCAACUUCAUGUAUGGAGAGAUCCCUAAAGAACUUACCGGCCUCCUCGCAUUACAGUCACUCAAUUUAUCGAAUAAUCGCUUCACUGGAAGAAUUCCUUCAAAGAUUGGUGAUAUGGCAAAGUUAGAAUCUGUUGAUUUUUCCAUGAACCAACUUGAUGGUGAAAUUCCUCCAAGCAUGACGAAUUUGACAUUUCUGAGUCACUUAAACUUGUCCUACAACAAUUUGACAGGACGAAUUCCGAAAAGCACUCAACUGCAAAGCUGCAGAGCCUUGAUCAGUAUGCGGAGCUCCACUCAACAAGAAUUGCAGCGAGAAUGGGGUGAUACCGCCACCAACAGUUGAGCACGACGGAGGAGGAGGAUACAGUUUACUCGAAGAUGAGUGGUUCUACGUGAGCUUGGGAGUUGGAUUCUUCACGGGGUUUUGGAUUGUGCUUGGUUCUUUGCUGGUAAACAUGCCAUGGAGCAUUCUUCUUUCACAGUUGUUGAAUAGGAUAGUGUUUAAAAUGUAUCAUGUAAUUGUUGAAUAUGUUUAGAUUUGUUUUGUACUUUGAGUAAGUUCGUUGGCAUUUUCCUUGCUGUGACGAAUAUGCCAGUAUGGUUGUGUUGUAUGAUUUUGUCAAAUUUAGUCCUCUUGUUUCAUUGUGUUUUUCUUUCAGGUUUGGUUUUAGAGGGGUUAGGUUUCAUGUCCCCCCAUCCCUUGUAUCAUUUUUGUUUUCGUUUCUAGAGGGGUAAGGUUUAUGUCUCUCAUUCUUACUCAAUGUUGUUUUUCUCCUUUUCUUGGCAUUAUGAGGGGUAAGGUUUAUGUUCUCCCCUGACUAGGUGUAACUUAUUUUUUUCGUUAUCAAUAAAAUAUUCCUCGUACCAUCAAGGUUUUCGUAAAAAAUAAAAAAUAGAAAAAAAUAUCCCAUAUAAAAUUAAAAGACUUGUUUUUUGAACAAGUAGCUCUUAAUUCAGCAGAAGUAAAUUGAAUGACAAGAGAAAUGUGUGAAAAUGGUUUAGGGAUUAGUUACCUAUUAAUUAAUUAUCAGCAAACUCAUAUUAUUCACAUUAUUUCGUGGUUGUAUUUUUAAUUAUUUUUCAUUUACAAUUUUACCCUUGGAACUUUCUAAGAAAACUAAAACAACGCUUCUCUCGAGUUCGAAUCCCAAAACCAAAAUUCAUCCGGUAUAUAUAUCCCAAGAUGCAAAAGGACCAAUUGGGAAUUAAAUAAAAUACUUUCGAAUAAGAUGACAGAAUAAAUGAACGAAUUUUCAGUGUGAUCGUCACAUAGAGUGAUACAUCACGUGUCGUUAUAUAAAUGGUGGGAUAUGUGUGUUAAAAAGUUAAUAACUUAAAAAAUAAAAAAUUUCACCACUUACAUAAAAACACAUGGUCUACAAUCUGUGUUCCCGUCACAACUAAAAAUUUCUUCAUGAACUCAACCACCUGCACAACCCCGGCCAGUCCACCAAUGACUCUAAUUUACUCAGAAUUUUAAUUUGGUAACGACAAUUUUCACCACUUACAUAAAAACACAUGGUCUACAAUCUGUGUUCCCGUCACAACUAAAAAUUUCUUCAUGAACUCAACCACCUGCACAACCCCGGCCAGUCCACCAAUGACUCUAAUUUACUCAGAAUUUUAAUUUGGUAACGACUUAAUUAUUUAUUUAUGAAAGGGUAAUUAAAGAAAAUCAAGUUGUGAAGUCCUUGUAGUUUGUAUUGACCAGUACUGACGGAUAAGAAGGGUAGUAUGGUCAAAAAGGUGGUGCUGAAGUAAGGCAGUUAGUAUAUUUGGAAGUUAGUUAGAAUUGGCGGUAAAAUUAGUUAGAGCUGUUAGUACCAUUGAGCUAUAUAAGUGCGUAAGAAUCUUGUAGUAAUUAUUCGAAGAAAUAUACAGAAGCUCAUAGCCUCUGCUCUCUCUGCAAUUCUGUUUCUUUCUCUCUAAGUUUUCUGCUUUUCUUCAAUUCUCUGUGCACUGUUAUCAUGGUAUCAGAGCUGGCCGAUCCUUGGUUUCAAUUCCGCUGUGCAAGUCUUCUUGAUUGAUUGAAGCUCGAUGGUAGCUGCAAGUUCUCAGGGAUUUCUGCUCAAAGGUUCAAGAUUUUCAUUUGUAUCAGGUUCUUUGUUUCUGAUUUCACAGUGCACACCAUCUGUUUGCGUUAUGUUCUAGUUGGAGAGUGUUUGUUAUUUUUCUGAAAGAUUGAAGGCCCAUAACCAUUGUUAGAAAAUUGAUGAAACACCCCAACCCGGAAGUUUGAGGUAAAUUCUUCUUCUUCCUAAAAUUUUGCUUACUUUUCACUUUUACCCCUUAUCCUAACAAAAUCCUAGCCGUUCAUCUAAAUUGUCUUUCUCUCCUAAACUGCCAAGUGGCAGCACCCUAACUCUCUCCCUUUCCUUUUCCCGAAAACCCUCAGACCUUCUUAGGGUAAUUCGACGUCCCGGACCCGUUUUUGAAGUCCGUUUUCCCAAAUUCAAUCGUUUGAGUAGAGUAGUUGAUGUACCCUUUAUUAGUGUGCUUAGGGGCAAUUAAUGGUGGUGACGUUUCCGUCUUCGCUAGUGGCGCAGCUUUUGGCGACUAAGUACUGUGAGUGGACCCCUUCUAAAAUUACAUGAUUUUAUAGUUUAAUUGCAUAAAUGAUUAGCAUGCCUACGAAUUUAUGAAGUAUAUAUAUUUAUUAAAUCUCGAGUUAUACCUAUAUUUCCUAUAUGUAUUUUCUAUAGAAACCAUCUGGUAGCUCUAUCUGAUAGGACGAUAGGAUAUAUUUUCUAUAGUGAGACGAUGAACGAUGCGGUUAUGAGACGUAAAUAUUUGUGCGUACCUAGUAGACACUAUGCCGCUUGGGGCGAGGAUCUGGUGUUGGCAUGUGGGCCGGGAGAAAUAAUCCCUAGCGAAAGGCUGAGGGACACGGAGACAGGCAUUGGGCCGGGAGGGAGUUAUCUCUGGCUACGGGCACAGAGACUGAGGUGCAGGCAUUGGGCCGGGAGUUAUAUUCAUUCAGUGAUCUUUCUAGCAGCACACCGCUUUACGAGACGAUUUAUGAGACGUUUACUGUUUUGAUUUCUGCGAUGAGAUUCCGCAAUAUGGCUUUUGAGAUAUUUUUGGCAUGCUAGAAUUUUUAUUAAAUCCAUCACUUACUAUGCUAGUAGUUUUCACUAUUAAACUUUGGGGGUUAAUAUCUUGAUAAAUGUUUUAUUAUUAUAUUAUAUAUAAACUUGGUCCACUCACCUUUGUUUUGCGCCCCCAUUCAGGACUUAGAACCGAGGCAUACGAUCCCGGCGUGAAGGCACUUCCGUAGCAGCAUCUUCGGAUCCUCUCGAUGUAGGACCCACUUCUUCAUUCAUUCAACUUUAUCUUAAUUCUUUUUAGUGACUAGGUUUAGUUGUAUGCUCUGAACACGUUCCUAAAUUAUUAAUUCAUGGUAUUUUAAAUUUCUAACCCUUAUUUAUUUCUUAUUCUUAGCUUUUGUAUCAAUUAAUGGCUUUCGUCACCCCCGGGUGUCGGCGAGCACGUGUCGGUCCUGGUAUUCAGGGAAUAUCAGGGUCGGGGCGUGUCAGAUUGGUAUCAGAGCGUGGUUUGUUCAGAGCAUACUUAGGAUUCUUUUCUAUUCUCUUAAAGUGUCGGUUUUGACAUCAUUUGGAUGUCACGAUUUCCGGAUUUUGUGCUAGUCGGUGCAGUUGUACAAAUCUCUCUCGGAUUGAAUUGUCGCCUUCUGGUUGAAAUUCAAGAAUUCGUGUCGGGAUUGUGCCUCAACAGUGAUGAAGUGAAUUGUUGGACGACUUUAAGGAUCAGAUUGAUACUCUACGACGUGCAUCCCUUGGGAAUGAAGGUUAGAGUCAGUAUUACUUAGAAGCGACGUGUUUUAGAAAUCUCAAUUUGAGGAAUUCUGGUUAAGACUAGCUGUAGAUUCGAAAUGGCGAUGCCACUCUGCAACAUGCGUUCCCUAGGAAUUGCGGGCGGAGUCGGCUCUACAUCGCAAUCUUGAGAAACUCGUCAGUAGCAAACGCUAUUGUCAUUAAUUUCCAAAAUGAGUUGCAAUUCGUGUUGCUGUUGUAGUUGGAUUUGGAUGAUGAAUAUCCAGUCUUGUUUGGAUAAACAGAUUCCUUGAACUUCACCUGGGUUUAGUACUUGGGGGUAAAUCCUAGCUUCUAGCCUUCGUACUUUUCGACGAGGAUGAACUUAGUCUCUGCUUGCAACCUAAAUGUCCAGUCUUGUAAUUUUCAGUGUAAUGGCUUGAGACUCUAUCAUAUUCAUCAUUGUAUGAAGAUCGAGCUUUACUCUGAACUUCUCUGGACUCAUUGAGUUUUGGUUUGCUCAAGGGCAUCACUUUAAGGUAACCAAUCGUGGCACUGCAUGCUUACGCAGGUUGCUUUGUAUCUUUCUUCUUCGUCCCAUUGAUUCAGAGGUUCUAUGUUUAAUUUCUGAAUUUUUAAAUGGCUCUCACAAAGUAUUGUGAAUUUUGAAAUGUCUUUGGCCUCGUCAAAUCUUAUUGACAGUUCUUAACUAUUCCUGAGCUUAGACCUAUUUCCUUUUUAACUAAGAAACCAGUUGACCAUACUGUGAUGAUUUGCAAAAUAAUCAGAAACAGUGACUUCUAUUUCUGCAUCUUUACCUUCCUUCGCUUGUUUGUUUGUCAAUGUGAACUGGAUCAUGCCGGAACAUUAUUUGGAGGGUGCAAAAAAAAAAAAAAAAAAAAAAAAAAAAAAAAACGUUUGUUCUCGGCAUGGUUUCUCGUUCAAAUCGCAAUAUCUUGUACUCCAGUUUUAUUGGACUUGUUUUGACUCUCAAAUUCUUGAGUGUUCUUUUAGCCUUCUCGACCUGGUUUCUUGCUCGAUUAGUGAGGAAUUCACGAUCGAUGGAUUCGACGGAAGUGUCCACCCAAUGCGGGUCGAUUUGGACAGGAAUGUUGGGAGCAUAAUCUUUUCACCAGCUUACCAAACUUAUCAUAAAGAGUUCCACGUGGGUGUGAAGUUUGAGCUGUAUUUUGGUAAGAGAUUGGUGAAGAUUUUGGUGCAGAAGGUCAGCAUAUUGCAUCACCAUCUUAUUAGAAUUCAUAGGCAUCACAUUGGUUAUUUUCCAACGAUAUGUGUUCGUCUCGACGCAUAUUUCCACUGCUUCACUUCCGAACCUUAUUGUUGUGAGUACGUGGUUGUUAAAACACUUCUAGCAGAUCUGUUUGGUGCAUUCUGGAAUGGCACUACAGGACGGUCGAAGCGAGAAUUGGAUAAUCUUUGCACUUCUCUCGAAUUGUGCGUGUUCUCUUUGGUUGUUAGGAUGACCAUUUGCAAGUCGUUCUUCUUUCCACCAACUUUGACCUUGUUUGACUUGAAAUCUGCAACUAAGCAAAAAUGGAAAGGUGGUUUGAGCACCGCAACGGUUCCCAAGAGAUACUGCUUGUUGAGGAAUAUGACUUCUCGUUUUCUGCUUGCUUGACUCGAGCUUUUGGGUCUACUACUAACAUGGUAGCCACUUCUCUUGAAUCCCAAGGUACAAUUUUCAAAUGAGUUCUUUACUGGUGAAAUUCUGAAGUAGUUGGUCACAUUUGGAAGAACUGAGGAGGAUAGGAUGCUUGGUGCUAGAUGGAAUCAUUACGACGACAGUUUCUGUUUUGUUCGGUUUGGAGUAUGGCACUUUUGCGACAUGGUAUGAAGGUUGCUAUAUGCAACACUGGUUGUUAGAGGAGUUGUGCGAGCUUGGAUUCGGAGGAUCGAAUUUUCGAUAUGGAAAAUUGUACACCUUUGAGAAAUUACUACUCGCUUAUCGAGACAACAAUGUGAGCUCGAUAUUGCGGGCUGCAGACCGUUGUAUCGAUAGCUUAUUUGUUGGGUUCGUUAAGCAAGUGGGCAAGAAGAUUCGUCUACAGCAGCUGAUGCAGAUUCAGAAUUGUUAUUCUUGGGACUCGACCCAGAAACACAUUUAUUCUCGGAGUACGUGACAUUUCGAAUUCUUGGGCGAGACCCACUCUUAUUUUUCAGUUUUGGUUUUUAGUAUAAGUAUUUUAACUUCAUUUUCCUCUAGUUAUUUGUUUUUGUCGUUACAAAUGUUUUUGGAAAAAUAUUUCUGUUUUCAUUUGUAAGUUGAUUUGAGUUUUGACCUAUAUGUGAUUACUUAUCUAUUUUGGCGUUAUCUGGCCUUAAAUUAUUUUGUGUUUUCGACUUUAUAUUUUAUUAAAGUAUGUUUUCUAUAUUUUUACACUGAUGGGGAAAGAAGGUAUGAGCCUGGAGGCACGAAAGAUGGAAUCAUUGCAGCCGAUCGCGACGGCGUGGCAUUUUCCUUUUUGUGCAACCGCUCUGACUUGAUUUCUUCGUUACGUAUACAUAUAUAUAUAUCAUUUUUCGUAUUUUCGAGUUUUUCAGUGUAGUAUGUUAUUUUAAAUUUCGAGGACGAAAUUUUUUUAUAAGGGUGGUAGAUUGAAACACCCCAACCCGGAAGUUUGAGGUAAAUUUUUCUUCUUCCUAAAAUUUUGCUUACUUUUCACUUUUACCCCUUAUCCUAACAAAAUCCUAGCCGUUCAUCUAAAUUGUCUUUCUCUCCUAAACUGCCAAGUGGCAGCACCCUAACUCUCUCCCUUUCCUUUUCCCGAAAACCCUCAGACCUUCUUAGGGUAAUUCGACGUCCCGGACCCGUUUUUGAAGUCCGUUUUCCCAAAUUCAAUCGUUUGAGUAGAGUUUGACUAAAUGUACCCUUUAUGUGCUUAGGGGCAAUUAAUGGUGACGUUUCCGUCUUCGCUAGUGGCGCAGCUUUUGGCGACUAAGUACUGUGAGUGGACCCCUUCUAAAAUUACAUGAUUUUAUAGUUUAAUUGCAUAAAUGAUUAGCAUGCCUACGAAUUUAUGAAGUGAUUUAUAUGAAGCAUGUCGAUUAAAUAUAUUGAUUAUCGUCUCGUGUUUUGGUGAGGAAUUAAUUGUUAGCCUAUACUGAGCUAUAUUUCAAUAUAUCGUAUUUUCUAUAGAAACCAUGAUCUGGUAGACUAUCUGAUAGGUGACGAUAGGAUACUAGAACAUGUUUUGAACCCCUCUUUAUAGUGUAGACGAUGAUCGGUAACCUAUGCUAUGAAGUGGUUAUUUAUGAGAGACGUAAAUAUUUGUGCGUACCUAGUAGACACUAUGCCGCCUGGGGCGAGGAUCUGGUGUUGGCAUGUGGGCCGGGAGAAAUAAUCCCUAGCGAAAGGCUGAGGGACACGGAGACAGGCAUUGGGCCGGGAGGGAGUUAUCUCUGGCUACGGGCACAGAGACUGAGGUGCAGGCAUUGGGCCGGGAGUUAUAUUCAUUCAGUGAUCUUUCUAGCAGCACACCGCGCUUACGAGACGAUUUAUGAGACGUUUACUGUUUUGAUUUCUGCGAUGAGAUUCCGCAAUAUGGCUUUUGAGAUAUUUUUGGCAUGCUAGAAUUUUUAUUAAAUCCAUCACUUACUAUGCUAGUAGUUUUCACUAUUAAACUUUGGGGGUUAGUAUCUUGAUAAAUGUUUUAUUAUUAUAUUAUAUAUAAACUUGGUCCACUCACCUUUGUUUUGCGCCCCCAUUCAGGACUUAGAACCGAGGCAUACGAUCCCGGCGUGAAGGCACUUCCGUAGCAGCAUCUUCGGAUCCUCUCGAUGUAGGACCCACUUCUUCAUUCAUUCAACUUUAUCUUAAUUCUUUUUAGUGACUAGGUUUAGUUGUAUGCUCUGAACACGUUCCUAAAUUAUUAAUUCAUGGUAUUUUAAAUUUCUAACCCUUAUUUAUUUCUUAUUCUUAGCUUUUGUAUCAAUUAAUGGCUUUCGUCACCCCUGGGUGUCGGCCAGCACGUGUCGGUCCUGGUAUUCAGGGAAUAUCAGGGUCGGGGCGUGUCAAUUGAAAGGCCGAUAGCCAUUGUUUGAGAGCAUAAGAGGCCGAUAGCCAUUGUUUGAUCAAGAUUUUUUGGUAUUCAUUCAGUUGUUUCAUUGAAAAAGGCCGAUAGCCAGUAGGGAAGAAUCUGUGAUAGUGUAUUUGGGUUCAAGAACAAGUCUUGUUUGUCUGCAAUAUAAAUUUCUGGAUUAAUAUUCUCUGUAACUUUGUUCAAAUGGCAGAAUCUAUUGUUAAAAUUGAAAGGUUACUUGGUAUGCUUACAGUGAAGCUUCAAGAUGAUAAUUUUCAGUUUCAAUCUGUUCUUAGGGGGUAUGAUCUUUUCGAUCAUUUCACGGGUGAAGCUCCAUGUCCUCCGAGAUUUGUUAUUGAUAGAAAGUCUACAAGUGGAUAUGUUUUUCUUCUUGCUGCUGGUGCAAUCUCAUGGAAAAGCUCCAAGCAGAAGGUGAUUGCUUCUUCAACUACGGAGUUCAGGAGUUGAAUUUCGUUUAUCAACCUGAAAACUUGAAUUCUGUCAAGCAACAUAGUGCUUAUGGUAUAGGUACUUGUAAUCAUAAAGUGCACAUGUAGAAGAGAUUACAUACUGCAUUUAUGAUUCAAUAUUCGAAGCUAUAAGUGACAGGUUGUUAAACGUUUAAUUGCAGCUUUAGGGGACUUGUGAUCACCUUAGUCUUAGCUUAUGUAAUAUCAUCCUUCUUGGACACUCAAGUGGGAGAAUGUAAGGUGUGAGUGUCAAGAAGAAUGAGUUCUUGUUCUCGACAAACUGAUAGCUCAGUGUAUGAGUUAUCAUCCCUUUCGAGUGAACCCUAUUCUAGCUGGAUCAUUGGCUGUUGAGUGUAGAAUGACCUUCUGUCAUUCAAGUGCUGCGAUGUCCAGUUCUUCGUCAGGUAAGUCUAUCAACUUUACUUAUGCAUGUCAUCGUGUGUAUGUGAUUCUAUGCAUGCAGCGUGUUAACUUCCUACGGCAUAAACUAACAGCCGAGCAAAAAUUUAACGAAAUAUACAUCAAAUACUGCCUAACAAAGAAAAAGUAUUAACAAAAUGGAUGACUUAUGUGAAGAAAAAUUAACAAAAAGUAAUGUCCUGCUCUAACUGCUUUCUGGGUUCUAACUGUUGAUGGUCAAGGUUAAAAAUCAUUUGUUACACGUCACUCUAGUUACAUUGGCACCUUUGCAUGAACUCCACGUACUAGUAUUCUAAGGCUCACUGUCAAGAAAAGCAUGCAUACGUUUCACAUUAUAAGAGAGAUAAAUAUACGUUUACACUAAUUUGUGAUAAAUGUAUGACGGUUGGUGACGAAGUUGUCUUUUUCUUCUCUUUCUCCAGUACAAAUUGACUAAUUUAAAUCUGGGGAAAUUAAACUUUAAAAAAACGAAAAUAAUUAAUCUACACAGAUUUGUAAUGAUUUUCAUUUCUUUUGGUAGGAAAUAACUGGAUAUGAUUCAUUCAAUUUCUAUUACUUUAUUCAUAUGCCGAUUAGAAAAUAUAAAAAAAGCAAUAAAUACAAGACAAUGCUGGGAAUUUGAAAAUCAGCGGUGGCAAGGUCAGCUUUCUGGGCAUAACAUUUGUGUAAUGGUGAGCAUUGUUGGCAGAGGACUAUACUGGUUUCUUGGUCCUACCUCCAACGUGUGGAUGCUAAACGGGUGAAUAAUCAAUAUUUAUAAGGAGCUCACUGUUAUAGUGACAUCUUUAUUCAUCAAUGAAUUGUUACGUGAAGAAAAACUUACACAUGACAACGCAUCUAAUUAAGCGCAUAAAUUUUACGUGACAGUAAACUCAUUCUAUAUAACGUCUGAGGCUUGUUAGACUCACUUUACUAAUGUUUCAGCCCAAAUAUUUUCAUUAAUUGGUUUAAUUCCUGUUAAUUUUGAAUUACGCAUUGUAGUGUUGGAUUCACAAACUUUUUAAUUCUCGAUUUUCAAUUGAAUAAACGAGUGUGGUAUGUAUUUCAAACAAACAAGAUUGAACAUCUAAUUAUUUCAAAUAAAAUGCAUCAAACACUCAUCUUCUUCUGGCAAGUAAGAAAAACUAGUUAUGCGAUGCGGCAUGUUUGAAUUGCGUGACAUAAACCAAAUUUCCAAUCGCAAAUUUGGUGAUAAAUAAAAUAAUUUCAAUAAGUGAAAAACUCAAAUAGGUUACAUAAUUUGAUUUUUUUUUCUUUUUUCGAGGGGAUUAGCUUGUGGGAAAGCUACGGUAGUCCAUCUCUUUGGAGGUCGGGAAAACUUACAGAGGCAUUUCAGCUAUCCUCUUACUAUCAUCGUGUGAUUCACUAUCGUUAAAAAUCGAACCUAUGACAAGAUAUGUGGAAUGGGAAUCUAAAUUGAUGAAGCAUUUGUAAUUUCAAAAUUUCCCCCUCCAUACAUAUUUCUUUUAUCAAGCCCUCCUUACAUAUAACAAUUGGAAAAAUUAACUUAAUUAGUAUGGGGUAAAAUAGUAAAUUAAUACGUGCGAAUUAAAACCACUCCACGUUGGGGUAGUUACAAACUUUUUUUUAAGUACGCUUGUGACAAGAGAUUUGUGUCUACAUUGAUUUUGGUCGCAAUUAAUUUGAAAAGUGAGAUGGAGAUCUUGGUGAUGUUGAUUUAAAGGAGGCCUCCUCAUCGGACGGUGUUGGUGAAUAGCACCAUGCAGCAGUCAAUGGGUGUUGUGUACAAACUCUGGUCAUCUGGUACUUCUCUUUAUUGAAAAAAAAAUUAAACGAAAAAAAAAGCAAGAUAACUAUUUUGAAGUGCCAGGAACAAUUCUCCGAGAAUGAAAUUAAAAAAUGUGGUCAAGUUCUUCAAAUCUAGUUGAAUCUGCUAAACCAUCACCUGCUAAAAAGAAAGAAAAUAAGUUAUAAACAUUACCAAAAUUGUAUCAAUCGUAACAAAGACAUCAAAAAACAAAAAUUGGAAAAGAAAAUGAAAAUUGUUUGAAAUCAAAUUCAAAAUCUCUAAUUGGAUGGCAUAAAAGGGAAAAGGGAGAGACUCUCAGAAACAAUAAAAAUGAGUGGCAUGGGAGAGAACUCAUGUUAUGUCAUUUUCUUAAUUUUAUGAAGAAGAGAAGAUGGACAUAGAUUGUGAGAUCACCCUCCCUACCACUCAUCUUGACUGGCUUCUAAGAGAUUAUCUCCCAUUUCAACUCGGCCAAUUCUAAGAAUGUAUGUUGUGGUUACAUGACUAUGAUGCCUUAAUUUAUAGAAACUCGAGGGCACACAGAUUCAGAAAACCAACCUUAGAGUUAGACUUCUAAACGGGUUAGGUUUAUUGGAUUUGGAUCGGGUUCAAUCCGACCCGUUAAGCUAACGGGUCAUCCGAACCUGACCCGUUAAACUAACGAGUCACCCGUUUCACCCAUUAACAAUUAAUUUUUUUUUUUUUUGCAUAGAGUUUUUUUUUGUUGUUAAGACUUUACUGAAAUUACUAAAAUAUCAUCAACUAACCGGUCUAACGGGUUGACCCAAAGUGACCCGUUAUUUAACGGGUUCACCCGUUAACGACCCGACAUGUUAAGCAUCCAUCCAAAUACUAAUAUUAAUAGAUCGAAUCGGAUUGGGUUAACGGGUCAGAUCCAAAAUAACAAGUCUACUUAGAGCCCAUGGUUUUCACAGCGAGGAUUGCGUGUGUCAGUCUAGUUAUAUUCACACACACGCCUGCUUCUCAUGUCAUUCUAGCAAAGUUGGUAAUCUCUCAUGAUUCAUGGACUCCGCGUCACUCUAGUAACGUUAGCCAUUUCAAGAAAAACGUGCGCGCGCUCGCAUGAUAAGAGAUAUGAAAGGCCUAAAUUUGACUUGACAAUAAGGGAAAAUAAUCUAAGAGCCAUAAGGGUUGGUGAGUGAGUUGUCAAUUUCCUUUUCCUUAUGAGACCCAUCAGGGUUGGUGACUAGAGGCCUGAUUUGGUAUACUUGGAUCUGAUAUCUCGUCGUUGCAUUCACUUUGCACAUUUAUAGAAACUUGAGGGCACACAGAUUCAGAAAACCAACCUUAGAGAUAGACCUCUAAACGGGUAGGGUUUAUCAGGUUUGGGUCGGGUUGAAUCUGACCCGUUAAGCUAACGGAUCAUCCGAACCCGACACAUUAAACUAAUGAGUCACCCGUUUCAUCCGUUAACAAUUAUUAUUAUUAUUAUUAUUAUUUUGUAUAAAGUUUAUUUUUUGUUGUUAAAACUUUAUUGAAAUUACUAAAACAUCAUCAACUAACGGGUUGACCCAAAGUGUUCCGUUAUUUAACGAUUCACCCGUUAACGACCCAAUCCGUUAAGCAUCCACUCAAAUACUAAUAUUAAUGGGUCAGAUCGGAUCGGAUUAACGGGUCGGAUCGAAAAUGACAGGUCUACUUAGAGCCAUGGUUUUCACAAUGAGGAUUGCGUGUGUCAGUCUAGUUAUAUUCACACACACGCCUGCUUCUCAUGUCAUUCUAGUAAAGUUGGUAAUCACUCAUGGUUCAUGGACUACGCGUCACUCUAGUAACGCUAGCAAUUUUGAGAAAAACGUGUGUGCGCUCACAUGAUAAAAUAUAUGAAACGCCUAAAUUUGACUUGACAACAAGGGAAAAUAAUCUAAGAGCCACAAGGGUUGUGAAUAGUUCAAGCAUUUUUGUUAUCAUUCUAAUUUUCUGAAGGUAGAUAGAGAAAUUGCAUGUAAAUCGAACAAUGUUUCAUAAUCUUUUGCAUGUUGGUACUAUUGUUGAUCCAAAGCCACAAGAACUUUGUUGGUCUAAUCUUUUUUGCAUGUAAAUAGAAGUCUGAUCUUUUGUGUGUAUACAAGCAACAGUAUCAUUUAAACGCUUUAAAAACCCUCAGCGUCACGUGGGCAAUUUUUGCUUGUUAUAAUCAAAUAUAUGAAAUUGAAAUGUUGUACGAGGUUACAAUUGGAGAGAUUUUUCAGUGUGAUUGGAACACGGGAUGAUACAUCAUGUGUCACUAUACAAAUGGUAGAAUAUGUUUGUUAAAAAAUUAAUAAUUUAAAAAAUAAAAUUUUCACUACUUAUAUAAAAACACGUGGUGUACCACUCGUUUUUCGAUCACAAUGAAAAAUUUCCCGUUGCAAUUGUACCAAAAUGUAAAGAAGUAAAUUGUAAUUUACCCUUUUUACUUUCACUUGCACAUUUACCUGUUUGACGCCCAGCCAUAUUAUAUCCCAGUAAAAAUAUCACAUCCAUCAAAAAAAUUAAUUUUUCAUCUAUAUUAAUACAAUGUAUUUGAAGGACCGACAAUUUUGAAAAUGCGGUCUCAUGCCGUAGAGGAUGGUUUAGAAAAGGUGAGGCUCCCUAGUAUAUAUAGGUAGCACUCCUCUGGAUUGUUCAUUGCUCAUACACAUCACCUGCUUCAUACACUUGAACUUUAUGGAGAGAAGCAUGAGAGUUGUUUUACUACUAAUCAGGUUUCUAGCCAUUGCAACCAUUACUUUCAGUAUUGGUUUAUCCAAUGGAAAUCCCGGUUGGCCUCCACUUUGCAAAGAAAGUGAAAGACAAGCACUUCUGAUGUUCAAGCAAGAUCUCAACGACCCUGCCAAUCAGCUUGCAUCGUGGGUUGCAGAAGAAGGUUCAGACUGUUGCAGUUGGACAAGAGUUGUCUGUGAUCACAUGACCGGCCACAUCCAGGAGCUGCACCUUGAUGGUUCCUACUUUCAUCCGUAUUCCGACCCUUUUGAUUUGGAUUCCGACUCUUGCUUCAGUGGUAAGAUAAAUCCUUCUUUGCUCAGUUUAAAGCAUCUCAACUACUUGGACUUGAGUAACAAUAAUUUUCAGGGAACACAAAUUCCUAGUUUCUUUGGUUCUAUGACAAGUUUAACACACCUUAACCUUGCAUACUCAGAGUUUUAUGGAAUAAUUCCUCAUAAACUGGGAAAUCUCUCCAGUCUACGUUAUCUCAAUCUCAGUAGUUCCAAUGGUUUCAAUCUGAAGGUAGAGAAUCUUCAGUGGAUUUCUGGUCUUUCUCUGCUGAAACACUUGGACUUAAGUUUUGUAAAUCUUAGCAAAGCAUCCGACUGGUUGCAAGUUACAAACAUGCUCCCUUCUUUGGUAGAGUUAGAUAUGUCUAAUUGUCAACUUCAUCAAAUCACCCCCCUACCCACCACAAAUUUUACUUCCCUGGUCGUCCUUGAUCUUUCUGGAAACCGUUUUAAUUCUUUGAUGCCGAUGUGGGUUUUCAGUAUUAAAAAUCUAGUUUCUCUUCGUCUCAUUUAUUGUUGGUUCCAAGGUCCAAUUCCUAGCAUUUCACAGAAUAUCACAUCUUUGAGGGAAAUUGAUUUGUCAUUGAAUUCUAUUAGUCUUGAUCCGAUUCCCAAAUGGCUGUUUAACCAAAAAGACCUUGCCUUGAGUCUAGAAUCCAAUCAACUUACAGGACAACUUCCAAGCAGUAUUCAGAAUAUGACUGGUCUUAAAGUUCUUAAUCUCGGAUCGAACGACUUCAAUUCUACCAUACCUGAAUGGUUGUAUAGCUUGAACAAUCUCGAGUCUUUACUUCUUUCUUCCAAUGCCUUGCGUGGUGAAAUAUCGAGUUCCAUUGGAAACAUGACAUCCCUUGUCAAUCUUCACUUAGAUAAUAAUCUGUUGGAAGGGAAAAUCCCAAAUUCUUUGGGACAUCUUUGUAAGUUGAAAGAUCUUGAUCUGUCAAAGAACCAUUUCACGGUUCAAAGACCAUCCGUAAUCUUUGAAAGUUUGUCCAGAUGUGGUCCGAAUGGAAUAAAAUCAUUGUCGUUGAGGUAUACUAAUAUAUCAGGUCCCAUUCCAAUGUCUCUAGGAAAUCUGUCAAGCUUAGAAAAAUUGGACAUAUCUGGAAAUCAGUUUAAUGGAACUUUCACAGAAGUUAUUGGUCAACUCAAAAUGCUAACGGAUUUGGAUAUAUCUAAUAAUUCAUUAGAAGAUGCAGUGUCGGAAGUUUCUUUUAGCAACCUUACAAAGUUGAAGCAUUUCAUUGCAAAUGGAAACUCAUUUACUCUGAAAACCAGUCGAGAUUGGGUUCCUCCUUUUCAACUUGAAAUUUUGCAAUUGGAUUCUUGGCAUCUGGGACCUGAAUGGCCAAUGUGGUUGCGGACACAAACGCAAUUAACACGUCUAAGCUUAUCCUGUACAGGAAUUUCAAGUACUGUUCCAACUUGGUUUUGGAACUUAACUUCCAAAGUAAGGUAUCUGAAUCUCUCUCACAAUCAAUUGUAUGGGCAGAUUCAAAACAUAGUUGCUGGUCCUAUGUCAGUGGUUGAUCUUAGUUCUAACCAUUUCACUGGUGCAUUGCCUAUUGUUCCCACCUCAUUAUUUUGGCUAGAUCUUUCCAAUUCAUCAUUUUCUGGAUCUGUUUUCCACUUCUUCUGUGAUAGGCCAGAUGAACCACGGCAACUUCAUUUUCUUCAUCUCGGGAACAAUCUUCUCUCUGGAAAAGUACCCGAUUGUUGGAUGAGUUGGCAGUACUUGAGCUUCCUAAAUUUAGAAAACAACAACCUAACGGGGAAUGUCCCAAUGUCCAUGGGAUACUUAGAUUGGCUGGAAUCGCUGCACUUGCGCAAUAAUCACCUGUACGGAGAAUUGCCACAUUCCCUGCAGAACUGUACCAGGUUGUCAGUUGUUGACCUUGGUGAAAAUGGGUUUUCCGGAAGCAUACCAAUAUGGAUAGGGAAAAGCCUUUCAGAAUUGCAGAUUCUGAACCUUCGUUCAAAUAAGUUUGAAGGAGAUAUUCCUAAUGAAGUUUGUUAUUUGACAAGUCUCCAGAUAUUGGACCUUGCACAUAACAAACUCUCAGGAAUGAUACCGAGAUGCUUCCACAAUUUGAGCGCCAUGGCUGAUUUUUCAGAAUCACGUGAUGCAAGUGUAUAUGUUAUUUUGAAUGGGAUUAGCGUUCCACUUAGCGUUACAGCGAAAGCAAUCUUGGUAACGAAAGGGAGAGAAAUGGAAUAUGGCAAGAUUCUGAAAUUCGUAAAAUUCAUGGACCUUUCAUGCAACUUUAUGUAUGGAGAGAUCCCUGAAGAACUUACCGACCUCCUCGCAUUGAAGUCACUCAAUUUAUCGAAUAACCACUUCACCGGAAGAAUUCCUUCAAAGAUUGGUAAUAUGGCACAGUUAGAAUCUCUCGAUUUUUCCAUGAACCAACUUGAUGGUGAAAUUCCUCAAAGCAUGACGAAUUUGACAUUUCUGAGUCACUUAAACUUGUCCAACAACAAUUUGACGGGACGAAUUCCGAAAAGCACUCAACUGCAGAGCCUUGAUCAGUCGAGCUUCGUCGGCAAUGAACUAUGCGGAGCUCCACUCAACAAGAAUUGCAGCGAGAAUGGGGUGAUACCGCCACCAACAGUUGAGCACGACGGAGGAGGAGGAUACAAUUUACUCGAAGAUGAGUGGUUCUACGUGAGCUUGGGAGUUGGAUUCUUCACGGGGUUUUGGAUUGUGCUUGGUUCUUUGUUGGUAAACAUGCCAUGGAGCAUUCUUCUUUCACAGUUGCUGAAUAGGAUAGUGCUUAAAAUGUAUCAUGUAAUUGUUGAAUAUGUUUAGCUUUGUUUUGUACUUUGAGUAAGUUUGUUGGCAUUUUCCUUGCUGUGACGAAUAUGCCAGUAUGGUUGUGUUGUAUGAUUUUGUCAAAUUUCGUCCUCUUGUUUCAUUGUAUUUUUUUUCAGGUUUGGCUUUAGAGGGGUUAGGUUUCAUGUCCUCCCCUCCCUUGUAUCGUUUUUGUUUUCGUUUCUAGAAGGGUAAGGUUUAUGUUCCCCCUUCUUACUCAAUGUUGUUUUUCUCAUUUUCUUGGCAUUAUGAGGGGUAAGGUUUAUAUUCUCCCCUGACUAGGUGUAACUUAUUUUUUUUCAUUAUCAAUAAAAUAUCCCUCGUACUGUCGAGGUUUUCUUAAAAAAUAAAAAAUAGAAAAAAUUAUCCCAUAUAAAAUUAAAAGACUUGUUUUCUGAACAAGUAAUUCUUAAUUCAGCAGAAGUAAAUUGAAUGACAAGAGAAAUGUGUGAAAAUGGUUUAGGGAUUAGUUACCUAUUAAUUAAUUAUCAACAAACUCAUAUUAUUUCGUGGUUUUAUUUUUAAUUAUUUUUCAUUUACAAUUUUACUCCUGGAUCUUUCUUUUGUUCUCUCUCUUCUCUCUCCCCUUCUUCGUAGUACUUCUCUCUCUCUCUCUCUCUCUCUCUCUCUCUUCUUCAUACUAAUUCACGUGACACCUCUCGCUCUUGUACGAGAAAACCCAAUUGCUAUGCAGUUUUGAAAUGCUCGUGAUGCAAGCAAAAUGGAGACGACAGAGUUAGCAUGUUUCUAUGGUGAGUAAGUUGUCAGUUUCCUUUUUCUUAUGAAACCCAUCAAGGUUGGUGACUAGAGGCCUGGUUUGGUGUACUUGGAUCUGAUAUCUCGUCGUUGCAUUCACCUUGCACAUUUUCCAGCCCAAAAAACUUUCAACUAAUGUCCGACCUUAUCAUAAGCAUAUUUAAAAACAUGUGGUCCAAUAUUUUAUUGAAUAUCACACUGGAUUUCUAACCAUGAGUCGUCGGUUCGAUGUACUAUGUGCAAUGCAGGGAAAAAAUAUUGUUUUGAAUUUGUAAAAUUCUAAGUUUUGUUCAUACAAAUCACCCCUUUUUACGUUGAUGGAAAUUAAUCGAGGUUCACUACAUCGCAAGUCUCUUUUUUGGUCAAGAGUUUACUUUAUUUAUAACACAACAGAUUACAAAAAAGAAGGCCCAAAUACAAUAAACACACAAACAAGAAGACGGACCUCCAUAGUAACCCAACAGCCCAAAACAAACAUAGUUUUGAGCCCUAAACAGGAAAAAACACCAAAGCAAACCCUAGCAGAUUUCUACCUCCGCCUUCAACCCGCUUGCCGAACGAACAACCCCUGCACCCAUCAAGAAAUCAAAAUAACUAAAGCCCCAAAGCUGGAUGAAAACAGAGCUACAACAGGAACCCAAAACAGAGCCCCAAAUUCCUCCACAGCACACCACAGCAGUAACCGCCACAAAUCGAAGGAAGCUAGUGGGAAAAAACCCACUAGCAACAGUGCCAACAAAGUCAAACCAAAGGAAGGAGGUGGUGUGAACACCGAGCCUAAGCUCUACUCACCUUCCGGGAGAAGCACGAUAAAUCGCAUUGAAAAAAGGUGGGAGCCAAGCCGGACUGUGAGAUCAAAGAAGGAUGAAGCCGAUCCGGAUUGGGGAACGUGGGGGGAAAGAGGGGGAAAUGGUGGAAAGAAGGAGAAAAUGUGGAAAAGGUGGAAGAAAGACGAAAGGAAACAAAAGGGAAACGUGGAAGAACGGAAGAAAUGGGAGAAGUUGGAAAAGGGACUGAGGUCAAAGAAAACAGAUACACGGGGUUGAGUGGCAAACAGGCCACUGGGCGGGGGUACAUGGAAGAUGAAGGAGAAGGAGAAGGAAAGAAAAGGAAAAAGGAGAAAGGAGAAAGGAGAAGAGAAGGACUGCCACCGACCCUGGCCAUAACUAGGGUCGGUGGCUGCGGGAAGAAUGAAGUGGAGGACACACACACAACAGGUAUAACAAGUUUAGGAACCGGAAGGCGAUAUUCCGUUCCUUAUUCGUAAUUUUUUUCACACAUACCGCAAAGCUUUUGAAAUGAACAAACCAACUCGUAUAUAUUCGCUUCAGACCUAGGGGAUAAGAACGAUAGAUCCAGAUGUUUUCCUGUUCUCAAGGUCUGCGUGUGCCUGUGCUGCUUCAGAUAAUGAGUAGGUGUGAUUCACUCGAACCCGCAAUAUACCCGAUGCAACAUUAGCAAAUACCUCUCCUGCAGCCUUCCUCUCGGGUUACAGCGUAAUGAAAGAGGCUAGGCCGAGUCAAGAAGAGUGAUUUCGCUGCAAGGGCUGAUAAUGGAACUGGAUCAGACGCACCUGAUGACUGCCCAAAAUUCACCAUGUAUCCCCGAAGUUUUAAGACUUCCAGUGAUCCCUGAAAACAAUACCUCCCGAUAAGAAUUCAUAGUCGACAACAUUACUUAUCUAUUAGAUGAUGUCAAUGUUGGAGUUGAGUAGUUUGGAUAAAUCAUGACAAGCUUAUGAAUAUAAGACAAGUAUAACUUACCUCAAACGUAUCCUUCCCUACAGAAUCGUAGACAACUUCAACCCCAUUGUUGCGAUGGGGGGUGAGAACGGGAAAGCCAUUGUAGCAGUUGCAGAGACCAGAAUCAAAUUAUAAGGGCAAAGACCAGUUCAGCCUGUUUUGAAGGGAACAGAUAAAAAAUAUGUCAAAGAAGAUCGAAGGCCACUACUUUUCAGAGGUUCUACAAAUUCAAGAGAAAAAAUGGCAAUAAAUCACAACGGUUUCCCUCUUUCGCUAAGAAAAACUAAGGUAUAUAUAAGAAGGAAACCAGCUUUGAUUUCACACGAACUCGAAAACCAAGUUAAACAAUAAAUCAUCAAAAUUUCCCUCUACUCCAAUAAAGCAACGUAAACAAUAAUCUUUCUGAGUCAACUGUUUGGUUGGUGAGAAAAUAAAAGAAAGUCAAAUCCUCUCCCCCCAUCAUUCCCAAAUACAAAAUUUCUCAAGUUAAAUUAAAAAACUUAAAAUCUCAACUAAACCAAUCAGCUCCAAUCAAUUCUUUUCACUGUAAUCUGUCUAAAGAUGAUUCCUUUUUCAUCAAAUGUUAUCCAAUUAUCAAAACCCAGUUCCUACUAAUUACAUAUAAAAAUUGGCCAAAUCAACAUCAAUCAACCUGAUUAAAAUUUUAAUUACAAAUUGAAAAGGAAAAUAGUACUAAUACAGCAGUAGUUGAAUAAAAUUUUAAUUUACUUUUCCACUAAUUAAAACAAACAAAAACGCCAGUUUUAAUCAGUGAAAUUCGAGAGAAGAUUACCUCGUUGGGGCUUGCUGAUCAAGGAAGCUAGAAGCGAAGCAGCUGAAGGGCGAAUAUUGCACAAUUGCAAAUAGAAAAAUCCAUUCUUUUUAGAGAGAGAGAGAAGAGAGAGAGAGAGAGAGGAGAGAGAAAGUCGUCCUCUAGAAAAUUAAAAAAAAAGCGCUUGUCUGCGAUUGGUUGGGCAUUCAGUGGGGUAGGCGGACGAAUAGUAUGACGCCACGUACGCGCUAACUGGCGAACACGCGGGCUGGGACUCGCGGGUGAUCCUGGAGAUUUAACUGAUAUAACCGUCGCGUGCGCGGACUGAACACUUUUGUUUGGUUUGAAGUUUAAAGUUAUGAUUGAGAUUAACGUAUUCUUUUGUUGAAAGUAGACUGAGAUAAUCAACUUCUUAAUCAAACUGCCUGUGUCAAGGGCCCCACUCCACUCCCACGUUGUAAUCUUUUCUGUUAUGGUGAUGGUGCUAAGUAAAAUCAAGGGUGAGGAUUGAGGGAAUCAAUCAAACGGUUGGCAAUAAAUAAGAAAGUUCGAAAAGUCAACCUGCUCAUAGCAGGUAAUGUUUGGACCUACUUAUUUCAACUCAUUUAGGUAAAUUUAGCCAAGGAUUUUCAUGGAUCAAUGAGCUAACUCAUUAUAUAUGUGUACUUUUUUUUAAUUUUAUAUUUAUAAAUUUAUUGAAUUUAACGGCUAAAACCUAAUGUGAUCAAAUCCAAUGAUAAAAAAAAAAAAUCUAACGUUCCAAAUUUAAAUUCAAUGGCUAAAGUAAAUAAAAAAAUUAUUUUAUGUGUUUCAUAUUCUUUCAUAGUGUUCCAUGAGUUUCAUGAUGUUGAUUUAGAGAUUUUUCAAUAUAUAUCGGAAUCUAAUUUUUUUUUAGGUUAAAAUGUUCAUAAAAUUAAAUUAUGAUAGUCUACCUAAUAUUUUUUUAAGUUACUUUAAGAAAAAAAUAUCCUAAAUUCAUUCUUUAAUACUCUCGGGCUAAAAUUUAAACCAAAAGCUUUGGAGGAGAAAAAUUGUUUCUGGUUAAACCCCAAAUUUUCUAGCUUAAAAAUUUGAAGUUUUAACUCAAAAGUUGGAGAUGAUCAAGUAAAGGAAUAGGAUCCUCUCAAGAUCCUAGCAAAAAUUGAACAGUCAAAAAUUAAUUUUUUGUUUAUGUCCACUUUUUUCUGUCCAUAUUCUUUUAUCUUCACCUUUUGCUGUUCAUCUUCUUCCAUCUUCUUCCCGGUUAAUAUGCUCAUGUUCAUCUUCUUCUCUCUUCAAGGUCAUUUAAUGGAAUAAUGUUUGAUUAUUAUUGUUGUUGUAUUUUUUUUUAACAAACGAUAUUAUUUAUACUAACAGUGUAGGGGAGUUAACUCAGCCUUACAAUGAGUUAGCAAUGAUGUGAUUCAAAUUUAUCUUUAACGAGAUUCAAACUUAAAACCUCUCAUUUACAAAUGAUAUUGUUGUUGUAUUUAAACCUUGGAUUUUUAACAUUUUUUAAUAUUUAGUAUUGAAUGAUAUGAAAAUAAAUGGUUAAUUUAAAAAAAAAGAAUAUUUGUAACAUAACAUUGAAUAAUAAGAGCAAUGAUGCCAUACUCGUAAAUCACUGUUUGUUUAUGUUAUUUUAUUUUAUUUUAUAUAAUCAAUUCAUAGAUCUUCGUUAUAAGUACAUCAAAGAGCUUCCAUCUUGGUGUCCUUGCUAGAGUCCCCCACAAUCCUCCUCCAAAACCAGUGCUCCUGCCACACUAUCUCCAUCUUCUCAAUCGGCACAUUCUUCGUCUCCGGCAAAAACAAGUACACAAACACCGUCAUCACCGCCACCCAACCCCCGAAAAAGAAGAAAAUCCCAGCCUUGAAGUGGCACAGCAUUGCUAGAAAAGUUUGAGCAACAAUGAAAGUGAACAAAAAGUUCACCACCACAUUGAUACUUUCUCCCGCUGAUCGAAUUUCCAACGGGAAAAUCUCACUCGGAACCAACCAUCCGAGCGGCCCCCAUGACCACCCGAAUCCCGCUACAUAAAUGCAUAUCAAAACCAGCACCAAAUAGGCAUACCCCUUGCUCACUCCACCGCGAUCACCAAGCUGAGCUGCCAUUACACCUCCCACCACGAUUUGUGACACCAACAUUUGAAUCCCACCAGCUAAAAACAACGCUCUUCGCCCAAAUUUGUCUACGAUAAGCAUAGAUACGAAUGUUGAGAUUGUACCAACCACUCCAGUCGUCAGGACAACGGACAAGAGCGAAGCGCUUUCUCCCAACCCAAUUGUUCGAAAAAGUACGGCAGAAUAAAAGGAUAUGACAUUGAUCCCUGUCACUUGCUGAAAAAAUGGUAUGGCUAUUGCCAUCACAAGCUGAGGCCUAUACUUUCUCUCCAGGAUUUUCUUAAAAGGGUGUUUAAUGUUUUUCCAUAUGUUGUUUGCCUUGAUCAGAUCAUCGAGUUCUGCUUGGACAUCAUUGACACCUCUGAUACGUUGUAGCAUUUGCUUGGCUGUAUGGUGAUCCGCGCUAUGCUGGAUUAGGCUGUUAGGUGUUUUGGGAAGGAAAAAUGCUCCCAGUGUUAGCAUUGAGGCAGGGACUGCAGCCAUGGCUAGGGAGAUUCGCCACCCCCAACCGCCUUUGAUCUUCUCAGAGCCGUAGUUGAUGAGGUUAGCUGAUAAUACGCCAAUGCCGACGCUAAAUUGGAAGCCAUUGUUAAUUGCUCCUCUGUAUUUUGGUGGUGCCAUUUCCGAAAGGUACAAUGGAACAGCCUGCACAACACAAACACAGAUUACACAAGUAACACGAAAAAUAGAAACAUCGAAUAGGGUAUGCUUAUAUGAUUAAUGUUGGGGGCAAAAAGUACUACCUGAUUUCCAAAACCAAUACCAACUCCAAGCAAUAAGCGGCCGAGGAUGAGCAUGUAGAUGUUCAUAGCUGCGCCAUUUAGAGCUGAGCCGGCAAGGAAUGCAGCUCCACCGGCAAGGAUUGAAGGCUUGCGGCCGUAAGCCCUUGUGACCAAACCGGCAAAAAGGGAAGCUACAAGACCAGCUAUGUAGAGUGAGGAUGUGAAGGAUGUUGAUUAUUGACUCAAACAUGUAGUCAAAGUCCAAAUCUUUGGGCUACUUUUGUGGUCAAAAUUGUUGGAUGGCAUGCUACAUGUGGGAAACCAAAAUUGGAUGCACUUAUGCCUAAUUCUUUUUGACUUGAUGUUAGGCCUUUGGCCAUUGAUGUCUUUGAGAAGCUUUUCUUUGGCUAUAAAAGGAGAGCAAGGUGCAACCCAUAAGCAUGGAGAAGUAGAGAAGAACAAGGAAGAGAGAAAAAUAGCAAGAAGCCAUUUGGCAUAGAGAAGAAUUUUCUCAAAUUGUCUUGUUUUGUAUUUUUGGUUUUCUCUUCCUAUUGUAAGUGUGAGAGCUUGGGGUUAUUUGGGUCUUUGGGAAAUUGAGUGAUAAACACUAUUGUAUGUUCUCAUUGAUUAUAGUGGAAUACUCCGUCGUCUCCAAACUGGAUGUAGGCAUUGCCGAACCAGUAUAAAUCUUGGUGUUCUUGUUGGUGUUGUUUUUAUUCUGUUCUGUCUUACUAUUCACUUACAGUCGUAUGCCGCUUCCGCACAACAAGUGGUAUCAGAGCCCAGUUCUGUGAAUAGUGUUGGCGCUACAGUUCAGUGAACAGUGAACUGCUACAGUAUCUGUGAACAGUAUUGUACCUGUGAACAGUGCCGUAUUUGUGAAUAGUGCCGAGUAGAUGGCUGGAGAUAAAGAUGAAUCUGUAAGGAAGGAGUCAGCAUCGUCUUCGUCUACAUCCAAUAGACAUCCAACCACUACUACAAGGUUAGAGGUUGAUAAAUUCAAUGGCUCUAAUAAUUUUGGUAUGUGGCAAUGUGAAGUUAUGGAUGUGUUGUAUCAACAAGAGUUGGAUAUGGUUCUGGAAGAUAAACCAGAAGAUAUUGAUGACAAGCAGUGGACACGAAUUAAUCUUCAUGCUUGUGCUGCUAUUCGAUCAUUCAUUGAUAAGGAGUUGAAAUACCCGUAUAUGAAGGAAACUUCUGCUAAGGAGUUAUGGACGAAAUUGGAGGAGAAGUAUAUGACCAAGAGCGCAGAAAAUCGUCUCUUCUUGAAGAAGCGACUCUUCCGAUUUCAGUAUCGUCCAGGUAUCUCUAUGCAUGAACACCUCAAUGAUUAUAAUAAAAUACUUGCUGAUUUAGCAAACCUUGAUGUGAAAAUUCCUGACGAGGACAAGGCACUAUGUUUGUUAAAUUCAUUGCCUGAUGAUUAUGAUCAUUUGACAACUACUCUGUUGUAUGGAAAAUCCGAGGUGAAACUUGAUGAGGUGUCUGCGGCAUUGGUGAAUCAUGAGUGUCGUAAGAAGGAACUGAAGACUCACAAUUCACAAACCGAGGCAUUUGUUGCAAGGGGUCGAACAGAGGAAAGAAAAUCUGGGAAGCGGGGAAAAUCUCGUUCAAAGUCACGAGGGAAGUUUCCUGCUAAAGAUGAAUGUGCUUUUUGUCGCCAAAAGGGGCAUUGGAAGAAAGACUGCCCCAAAUUGAAGAACAAAGAGAAGGAGAAAGCGGGUUCUGAAGCAAAUAUUGCAAAAUCUGGAGAUGAUGAUUUCGAGUUUGCUUUGGCUAGUUCAUAUGCUAAUGGUCACUCAAAUGAGUGGAUUUUGGAUUCAGGUUGCACCUAUCAUAUGUGUCCCAUUCGGGAAUGGUUUUCUAAUUUCAAGGAGCUGGAUGGUGGAGUUGUUUUGAUGGGUAAUAAUAAUGCCUGCAAAACACAAGGGAUAGGCAAAAUCUGUUUGAAGAUGCAUGAUGGAACAGUCAGAGAAUUAAGUGAUGUUCGGUAUGUACCGGAUAUGAAGAAAAAUCUCAUCUCACUGGGUGCAUUGGAAUCCAAGGGUCUCAAGAUCACCAUGGAGGGUGGAGUUCUUAAAGCUGUGUACGGGGCACUGGUGGUGAUGAAAGGUACAAGACGAAAUAACUUGUAUUUCUUGCAGGGGAGUACAGUUAUUGGUGGAGCAGCUGUCACCGAAGCUGCUGACGCAGAUAGCACAGACACCACGAGGUUAUGGCAUAUGCGUCUUGGGCAUGCUGGUGAAAAAGCGUUGCAAGGAUUGGUGAAGCAAGGCUUAUUGAAAGGUGCAAAGGCAUGCAAAUUGGAAUUCUGUGAGCAUUGUGUGUUGGGUAAGCAAACUAGAGUAAAAUUUGGCACUGCUAUUCACCACACUAAGGGCAUUCUUGAUUAUGUUCACACUGAUGUUUGGGGACCUUCCAAGAAUGCAUAUUGGGGAGGUAGCCAUUAUUUUGUCUCCUUUGUUGAUGACUUCUCUAGAAGAAUAUGGGUGUACACCAUGAAGCGUAAAGAUGAAGUCUUGAAGAUAUUCCUGAAGUGGAAAAAGAUGAUUGAAACGCAAAGCGGUCGAAAGAUCAAGACUCUCAGAUCAGACAAUGGGGGUGAAUAUAAGUCUGAUCCUUUCUUGAAAGUUUGUCAAGAUGAGGGUAUUGUGAGGCACUUCACGGUUAGGGAGACACCGCAACAGAAUGGGGUGGCAGAGCGCAUGAACCGUACUUUGCUUGAGAAAGUUCGGUGUAUGUUGUCUAAUGCUGGAUUAGGCAAGGCGUUUUGGGCUGAGGCACUCACUUAUGCAAGCCAUCUCAUUAAUCGAUUGCCAGCUGCUGCGAACGAGGGCAAAACGCCCAUGGAGGUAUGGUCUGGUAAACCUUGUACUGAUUACAAGUUUUUACACAUAUUUGGUUGUCCUGCUUACUAUCAUGUCAGAGAAAGCAAGUUGGAUCCAAGAGCAAAGAAAGCUCUAUUUAUGGGCUUUAGCACUGGCGUGAAGGGAUACCGACUCUGGUGUCCAGAUGAGAAGAAAUUUGUUGUAAGCAGAGAUGUGACUUUUGAUGAGGCUGCUAUGGUUAAUCAGAACAAGCAUGAAGGUGAAACUAAAGCGACCGAGACCAUGAGUAGCUCAAAGCAGGUGGAGUUACUGAAGACUCCAGUUGUUCCAGUAAGGUCUGAUGUUUCAAACACUAGUCCUACAGUUAAUUCUGAUGAUGAGGACGAGGAUGAUGAAGAGGAGGCACCUACCCAAGAGCCUCCACAGCAACAAGACUAUAUUGCAACCAGAAGAUCGAGAAGGGAAAUCCGAAAGCCUGCUCGAUUUACUGAUAUUGUGGCAUAUGCACUUCCCGUUAUUGAAGAUGAUAUUCCAUCCGCCUACAAAGAAGCUGUCAUGAGUUCAGAGUGCGAGUUGUGGAAGAAAUCUAUGGAUGAGGAGAUGAAAUCUCUUCAUAAAAAUGAGACUUGGAAGCUGGUUCAGUUACCAAAGGGGAAGAAAGCAAUUGGUUGUAAAUGGGUGUAUGCCAAAAAGAUGGAAUCUUUGGGAAAAGACAAUGUAAGAUUCAAAGCCAGAUUGGUAGCUAAAGGCUACGCUCAGAAGGAAGGCAUUGACUACAAUGAGGUAUUUUCUCCUGUAGUAAAACAUUCUUCUAUUCGUAUUCUGUUGGCUUUGGUUGUGCAGUUUGACCUUGAGUUGGCCCAACUUGAUGUCAAGACUGCGUUCUUACAUGGUGAUUUGGAGGAAGAGAUUUAUAUGUCUCAGCCAGAAGGUUUUAAGGUUGCUGGAAAGGAAAAUUGGGUUUGCAAAUUGGAAAAAUCAUUGUAUGGCUUGAAGCAGUCUCCAAGACAAUGGUACAAGCGAUUUGAUAGAUUUAUGAUCGGGCAGAAGUACACAAGAAGUCACUAUGACCAUUGUGUAUACUUUCGCAAACUACAAGAUGGAACCUUCAUUUAUCUGCUUUUAUAUGUUGAUGAUAUGCUUAUAGCAUGUAAGAGCAAAGUGGAGAUUACAAGGUUGAAGACUCAACUAAGUAAUGAAUUUGAGAUGAAGGACUUGGGAGAAGCUCGGAAGAUACUAGGUAUGGAAAUUGAAAGAGAUAGAGCGAAGGGCAAGAUUAGUCUGUGUCAGAAGCAAUAUUUGAAGAAGGUACUACAACGUUUCAGGAUGAAUGAAAAUUCAAAACCGGUUAGUACACCUCUUGCCUCUCAUUUCAAACUUAGCGCUUCUAUGUCUCCUAAAACUGUUGAAGAGAGUCAGUACAUGGCUCAAAUUCCUUAUGCAAAUGUUGUUGGUAGUUUGAUGUAUGCUAUGAUGUGUACUAGACCUGAUAUUUCACAAGCUGUUAGCAUUGUCAGUAGAUAUAUGCAUAAUCCAGGAAAAGGGCAUUGGCAAGCUGUGAAAUGGAUUCUACGGUAUAUUCUGGGUACUGUGGAUGUUGGUUUAUUGUUCCAGCAGGAUAAAGUUACUGGUAAAUGUGUUGUUGGAUAUGUGGAUUCUGAUUACGCAGGUGAUUUGGACAAGCGUAGGUCCACUACUGGUUUUGUAUUCUCUAUUGCUGGAGGUCCAAUAAGUUGGAGGUCGAUUCUGCAAUCUACAGUUGCUUUGUCGACUACUGAGGCAGAAUACAUAGCUGUGACAGAAGCUAUAAAGGAAGCCAUCUGGCUUCAAGGGUUGCUUGAUGACUUAGGGGUUCAACAAGACCAUGUGGAUGUUCAUUGCGACAGUCAGAGUGCUAUUCAUUUAGCAAAGAAUCAAGUUCAUCAUGCACGUACGAAACACAUUGACGUGAGGUUCCAUUUUGUUCGUGAGAUUAUUGAUGAGGGAGAUAUUCUUCUUCAGAAGAUUGGGACCGCUAACAAUCCUGCAGAUAUGUUAACAAAGCCAGUUUCGUUGCACAAGUUUAAGCACUGCUUAGACUUGAUUGGCGUUUGUAAAAUUUGUUGAUUGCCCCAUGGGGGAUUGGGAGACGACUAUUAGGAGUUCUACUUAGAGGGUUUGAGUCAAGGUGGAGAUUGUUGAUUAUUGACUCAAACAUGUAGUCAAAGUCCAAAUCUUUGGGCUACUUUUGUGGUCAAAAUUGUUGGAUGGCAUGCUACAUGUGGGAAACCAAAAUUGGAUGCACUUAUGCCUAAUUCUUUUUGACUUGAUGUUAGGCCUUUGGCCAUUGAUGUCUUUGAGAAGCUUUUCUUUGGCUAUAAAAGGAGAGCAAGGUGCAACCCAUAAGCAUGGAGAAGUAGAGAAGAACAAGGAAGAGAGAAAAAUAGCAAGAAGCCAUUUGGCAUAGAGAAGAAUUUUCUCAAAUUGUCUUGUUUUGUAUUUUUUGGUUUUCUCUUCCUAUUGUAAGUGUGAGAGCUUGGGGUUAUUUGGGUCUUUGGGAAAUUGAGUGAUAAACACUAUUGUAUGUUCUCAUUGAUUAUAGUGGAAUACUCCGUCGUCUCCAAACUGGAUGUAGGCAUUGCCGAACCAGUAUAAAUCUUGGUGUUCUUGUUGGUGUUGUUUUUAUUCUGUUCUGUCUUACUAUUCACUUACAGUCGUAUGCCGCUUCCGCACAACAAAGGAGGUCAACAGUUCACUGUCAAAUUUACAGUAGUUGCUGAUUUUGGUGUCCGAUUUCAUCUUAGUGUUUACUUCAGGGAAGAAUUUUUUAAGAAACGGCUCCAUUGAUGUCACGCCGCCUGAAAUUCCAAUGUCGUAGCCGAAAAUUACACCUCCUAUGGCUGCCAUCAUGCAAGAGAGGAUGACAAACGGCGUCAUCUUGCCAUUGUAUUGCCCGGCUUCGCCUGCUAUUGCUAACUCAACUGCCAUUGCUUCUUCCAAGCUCACACACAAAUAGAUAUGAAGAGAGAACUCAGAGUUGUGAUUUGUACUAAGAGAAUGGAAAUAUAGUGAGAAGUCUUGCUCCAUUUUCUGACAAAUACGAUAUUUUAAACUACUGUAAUCUACGGAUAACGAAUUCUUCCUAACCACGUCUCCAAGAGUGGUCUUACUUGACUGGUGUAUUUCAACAAAUGGUUUUGGACUUGUACGGAAUAUGUAGGCAGUGGUUGCAAUCACUACCACUACUAGAUAACUUCAGGCAGGACCAUAAGCAUUUGUCUGAACUCUGAAGAAAGUUAAGGGUCUAUUUGGCCACUCUUCAGCUGCCAUUGCCUGGUUUAACAAACCCUUUCGUACUUAAUCACUCUUUUUUUGCUGCUUUAAUAUCUGCUUUGCCGUUAAUCGCGAGCACUUAAACUUGUCGACCGCUGCCACCCGUUGGUACCCUGCCGGAGCUACUUGGUAUGGUAGUCCGGAUGCCGCCGGAAGUGGCGGUGUAAUGCAUGAUUAAUGUAUACAUGUUUUGUAAUUUUUGGUUUACAGAUAAUACAGUAUAGUUACUUAAUUAUUAAUAUUAAUAGCAUAUGCUAAACUAAUACAUUAUUGUCAUAUUAUUCAAAGUGAUUUCAAAACUACUUUCAUUUACGGUAAGAGAGGCUCGGAGCUAAUACAAAGAACAAAAAUAAACAGCGAAUGUGCAGAAGGAGAAAAAAAAAUGUGUGCUGAAAUCGUUUCCCAAAUUAUUCUAAAGUGAAUGGCAUGAAAGCAAAAAGAUAGAGAGAGACUACCAGAAACAAUAGAGAGUGUGCCAGUCGGGCACCUUGGCAUGCUUCCCACGUCACUCUAGUUACAUCGGCACCCUAGCAUGAACUCCACAUAUUAGAAUUCGAGGGCUCACUUGAGAAAAACUGUGUCCAUCCUCACGUGAUGAGAGAGACAUAUGUUACGUGAUACAUACCCUGCUGUUUCACAGAAACAGUUUUGCCUUUCAGCAGAAAUGUGAAAAAUACAAUUGACUUUUUUGCUUGCUUAACAUGUCUGUCUGUCACUAAAGUUGGAGAUAACAUCAUUGCAUUUUGCAAACCAACUCAUAUUAAUCUGUUCACAAAGAACAACAGUUGAGGCAAAAAUUUUAGGGUAUAAGCACAGCCGAGCCGGAUGUUUUCCUGUUCUUAAGGUCUGCAUGAGCUUGUGCUGCGUGAGACAAUGGGUAUUUGUGAUUUACUCGAACGCGCAAUAUGCCUGAUUCAACAUUAGCAAAUACCUCUCCCGCAACCUCUACCAAUUUGUCUCGAGCUGCAGUGUACUGGAACAGGCCGGCCUGGUCAGGAAGAGUGACUUUGCUGCAAGAGCUGAUAGUGGGACCGGAUCAAUUGCACCUGAUGUUUGUCCGAAACUCACCAUGUAUCCACGAGUCUUCAAGCAUGCCAAUGAUCCCUG